UUUAUUUUUUUUCUCCUCUCCUUCCUGAGCCAGGGAAGAUUGGAGUUCCACUCCUUUUUCUCCCACUUUUCUCCACUCCCUCUGUUUCUUCACAUCCUCCCCUUUUCCCAGUGUUCUGCUGAAGCCUCCCCCUUUCCCAGCCUCCAGAUGAUGCCUCCCCCCUUGUACUGCAUGCAGACCCCUGCCUAGCAGCACCUCUGCAGAGACAGGAGGGAGGGGACCAGAGCCACAAUCAGAAUCACAAUGUAUCUUAUUUAUUAAGGGCUCUCUCGCUUCAACCUUGGCUGAUUUCCACAAGUGUUGGCAAUUUUGGGAGAUAUUUUCUAUUUUUCUUGAUUUUGCAUUUUUAUUGUUCCAAAUGGCAUUACCACAUCCUGGAGCCUGGAUACGUCUAUUGGAUAAGGAAUUCUAGCGGUUUUUACUUCCCUUCAUGAUUUAAAUCCAGGGAAAAUAAAUAAAAGGAUUUUUGGAGAAAAUGGAGAACGAAAUAUUUGCUCCAGUCCUGGAAAAUUUUCUGGCCAGUCCUCUGGUGAUCUGGGUGAGUAAUGUCUGCCUUGAUUAAUGCUCCCUUGGCUGAUUCCAUGCCGGAGUCUUAUCCCUGACCCUUUUCUCUCUCUCCCCAGAUUAAGACAUUUGGAGCCCUGGUAAAAGGCAAUGGGACCCUGCUAGAUGAAUAUGUGGCUCUGGUGGACGGUGUGUUCCUCAAUGAGGUCAUGUAUCAGAUGUAAGUGAAAAGCCAGAUACAUUGUCUAUGCUGCAUGCCCCCAUAUUCCAAACAUAGAAUGUACACAGCAGUUUGUGGAUUAUUGAUGGAGUAUUAGAUUGUUAUAGGUGUCCCAAUAUUUAAGGCAUUUCCCCAUUCUGCUCCAAUAAAAUACUGAUAAAACCUGGCCUGGAGAGAUAUGUCACUAGUAUUGCUGUUGAGUAGACCAGAGUAGGGGGAAUCCAAUAUCCCCUCCAGCUGUUGCUGGCAUACAUUUCCCAUAAUUCUCUGCUUGUUAAUGCCUUUCAGGAAAUUAUGGAAAUUGUAGUCCAUCAUGAGCUGAGGACCAGCUAGGACACCAAUGGGUUAUUGCCAGCUGUCAAAGUGGGAGCCAUCUCACUGCAAUCACCUUGUUGAAGCAGGGCUGUCAUUAUUUACACUAUAAUUUGGUUUUUAUUAACCUUUUCUGGGUCAGUGGGGACUGUCAUUAUUUACACUUUAGUUUUUUAUUAACCUUUUUCAGGGUGAGUGAGGGCUGUCAGAAUGACAAGGGGUUUACCUGUUUCUGGCACUGAAGGGGUUUAAGCCAAAUGUUGAUUGCCUGUUCCAUUUUCAAGAUGUUCUGCAGCAGUCCCAUGUUGUGUUGUGCCGGUGAUGGACUAGUUAAAAAAUCUAUGCUGGCAUUGUCUAUAAACCGCCCUUUUCUGUAGCACACAGGGCACUUUUUAGCUAUUGCCAUGCUGCAUUGUAAGAAAGUGCUGUCCUCCACUUUGUAGGAUUCACAUACUUCAGGAAGGAAGUCUGCCCAAAGGAACCUCCUUGAUUAGGUCUUUGGGUUUCUGAAAUGUAUGAAUGCUGCAUACAACCUGCCAGCACUUUUCAUGCACUGCACAAUGAACACAUUUCGCAUUGUGGGGAAAUUAACAGCACUGUUACUUUCUAUGGGAUUUAUUUGUCCAUUUCUUUUAUUUGAAUUUACCUUUUUUUUUCUUUCUUUUUUUUUUUACCCCAUAAAUUAAAUGUGCCUUACUUGCCCCCUCUAAAUAAGUCAUAGUACAGUUUUGUGAAUUUUCCGUUGGUCACAGUAACAAAUGGGCUGGGAGACUGUAGAUCAGACUCUGUGCUCAGACCAUGUGCCAGCAGAUAUAGCCAACAGUGAAAGAUAAGAUUGUUUUACAUGCAAGUUAUCACUGACACAAAGGAAGCAAUGGACUUCCUGUGUUGCACAACCACUUUAAUUUUAACAAUAAAAUCUAUUUAUACGAUUAGCUAUUAAAAAUAUUCUGCAUCUGUUUUAACACUUGGGUGGAGUGGGCAAUGGAAAGUAAUUUAAAAAAAUAAUAAUUUUUAGUCCAUUUGGGGAAAAACAAACUGCAUCUGUAGUCCACACUUACAGCUCAGUUUGGCCUAUCUAUGUAAUUAUUAUUUUAUUAUUAUUUAUACAGCGCCAUCAGAUAUCGUAGCGCUGUACAAUAUGUAAUCUCCUUGUCAGUUCUUGCCAGUUACUAUUAUAGUCAAUUACACAAUACAAAUUGUAAGUUUAUUGCCAUUGUGAUGGAUUAAAUAAAGAUUUCUUGUAAAAUUAAACAUCCCUGGAUUGUGAGAAAUAUGAAUUAAAAGCAGAAUGAUAUUUUUCUGUUUAUUAAAGGAUCACUAUAGUGUCAGAAAAACAAAGCGGUUUUCCCGACACUAUAGUACCCAGAGGGUGCCCCCACCCUCAGGAUCCCCCUCCCAUGGCGCUGUAAAACCCUUCAGCAGCUUAGCUUAUCCUCCCCCGCUGACGUCAGCGGAGCCGGAUGCACAUGCGUGGCAAGUGCCGCGCGCGCAUUCAAAGUGUCCAUAGGAAAGCAUUUCUCAAUGCUUUACUAUGGACACUCUGCGUGAUGGAGGCGAAAUGUGCCUCCAGCGUCGCAGAUGCACCUCUAGUGGCUGUCCGGAAGACAGCCACUAGAGGCUGGAUUAGCAACAAAUGUAAACAUAGCAGUUUCUCUGCUAUGUUUGCGUCUGAAGGGUUAAAACCUUAGGGACAUUGCACCCAGACCACUUCAUUGAGCUGAAGUGGUCUGGGUGACUAUAGUGUCCCUUUAAUACAUUUUUUCUUUUUAUGAAUACAUUCUGUCUCCUUGGCUUAGAUCGAGAUCAAUGAUCUCAGCCAGUCCAAUGCUUUCCCAUAGUAAAGCCAUGAAAGGCCAGAGCGCAUGCUCAGCAAACCGCAGUGCUGUGCCAAUCAUAUUGCCUCUAUGAAACCAUCUGAUUGAAAUAAAAUAGUGCUAGUGGCAGCCACUAGAGAUAUUUAAACCCUGCAAUAUUGUCACUUGCAGGGUUAAAACUAUAUAGGGAGAUGGCACCCAUAUCACUUCAAUAGUCUACAAACCCCAUAGUGCUCAGCCAGCUACAAGCUUCUUUUAUUAGGAUUGUAGGGCAGUAUGGGACUUUGAGUUUUAUCACAGCUGAUCUACCUACUGAUUACUUAGGGUAGCCAGAUCCUCCAUGGUUUCCUAUUACCGUUUCUCUUGCUGAUGGCCAGCACUAUGUGGCAAGGAAAACCAGUGAAUUAAGGCAAUUCCUCCCUCCUUCUGCAUAUUCAGUCUACAUAAUACUGGGAAGCACUUUUCAUGCAACACCAUUAGCAUGCAGAACAAGUUAACUGUCCAGGAAACCGUUCAUUUUGGAGUAACCCACAUAUGCAUAUAUUCACCGCAAUGUUACAUAGCAACAGUAACAUAGUAAUUUAGGUAGAAAAUUAGAACUCAUGUCCAAGUUCAUUUUAUUUGAUUAAUCUAGAUUUUAGCCUUGGUAAACAUCCACUAAAUGCCAAGGAAAUGAGAAACAACUAACAAAACAGACUACAAAGCAAUGAGUGUGCUGCCCAUGUGGCACUCGUACAGUUAAACUCUUCCCCAAAUCAACCCUGUGCGUGCCCUGUUUGUGAGUUAAUCCAUUUCAGAUGCAGAAUUCUAUCUCUCUCUGGUUUAGAGACUUGUAAAUGUGACCAUUUGUUGCCAGAGGAGAAGCAGGAAAGCAGUGAUAUUCUUCUUCUUACCCCUUGUGUCCUUUUAGAAGGUUAAUUGACUCCUUCUUCCUGUUUCUAGAUUCUGUUAUUACUGUUACAACUAACCCAUUUUUGUAAUUCUCAUGUGUUUAAUGUGAUUCAUAUUGCCUGUUAAUAAUUUAGUCAACAUGUGAAUCAUGUAUCUUUAAAAGAAUUCAUUGUUUACAGCUCUGAUUUUUAAAGGGUUAAUAAAGACUUCCUUUCCCCCCAUGCAGUGUGCUCUGGGAUACAAUUGAUUAAAUGUUAGAUGUGGAUAGAGAUUGGCUAUAGCUCUGCAGAUGAAUGAAUGGGCAAUUGAUUAGAAGGCCUGAGACUUUAUGCAAUGAAUGUAAGAUGGCCAAUUCCUAGCUCGGAUUACCCUGAUGUUUAUGUUUAAAAAUGACCAUAUGUCAAAAAGAGGAAUUAUGUUUUCAUGGCCACUCCUUUAAAUUUUAAUUUUCCACACAUUUUAAGGCGUUAUGUUGUCUUGACUUCUUCUGCCAUAUUUUGUAUUUUGCUUGUGUAAUAUUGCUUGGCAUUUAUAUUGUACUUUUUUCUUAUUUAUUUUCUCUUUUUUAAAAAUAUUUCUUAGUUGUAAUGUAUUUUCACAAAGCAAUGAGCUUAUUGAUUGCUAUCAAUUAGGCUUUUUUAUGUUUUAUUACGACUUAUUAUAACCAUUGUGAUGUAUUCACUAUAACAGGAAUUAUUGACAAUGAUAAAUAAAUACAUAUUUUAAGCCGAAUUGCAAACUUUCUGAUAUUUAGUAAAAAAAAUUUCACUUCGACUUCUGUUAGACUCGAACACGCAAUUCGCAUUUUAGUGUAUAGCCCUUACACGCAUAUUUCUUUAACACAUGGAGGUGACUUCUAAACGAAACUGAAACAUUUUAAGCUAAAUAUUCAAAUUUAGAAAAGAUUCUCCAACUCCGAUAUAGUCACAGCUUGUCUAUUUUAACCUAAAUUUCGUAGUUUUCAGUUCACUUCAAUUCACCAUGACGUCUGCAUUUUGACUUCAAUAGAAUAAGGUUUCCAAUGCCCUGGGCUGAUUCACCUUUAGGUCUCAAUGUAUCUACUGAUGUCCAGUAAGAAAGGAAAUGUGUCAGGAAGAUAUGGGGCCUGUUAGCGCUGCCUUUUAGAAGUAUUUUGCUGAUUGUCAGUAUAUCACUCGUGUGUAUAGAACAGCCCUCGGAUAAAACAGAUGGGCUUACUGAGUCCUUAUUUGAUCUCCUAAAAAUGUAACAUCAGAUUUACAAAUGUUGGCUGAUACCCAAAUGUAUACAAUGUCCUAAAAACUAUGUUCUACUGUAUCUUGAACAGUAUACUGCUUUCUGACUUACACCUCCUGCUUCAUUAUAUUUUCCUCUGUAUUCGUUCAGAGGUAAUACCCCCAUGUGUUUGCAGUGAUAAAUAGUCUGGUUCUUUUCAGAAGUUUGUAGUGCCGAUGCUCUCAUCAAUAAUUUUUAAUAAAUCAUUCUAAAAACGUGUUACUUCAGGUAAAGGCUCCCCCUGGCAGACUUCAUCUGAUGUAUGUAAAGCAAACCGUAAAAUAUAUACUUGAGAAAAUAUUUUAUAAUAAUUCAAAACUCUAGGAUGUCACCUUACCCAGCCCGGAGCAAUUGUGCAAGACAUACAUUUUAACUCCAUAGGUAUGCCCCUUCUCGGUCCCUCUGCUUUGCCCGUGACCUUCUCCUGUCCGCUGCUCGCGCCCGUACGGCCAACUCACGCUUGCAGGACUUCUCACGGGCGGCUCCCUUCCUAUGGAAUAGCCUGCCUACCGCCAUCAUACUCUCCCCUAGUCUUCAAUCAUUUUAAGAAGUGCCUUAAAACCCAUCUCUUCAGGAAAGCUUAUGGCCUCCCAGAGUAACCUCUACCUUACAUACCUGUCUCUUGCUCUCUCCUAAAGGGCCGCACUCUACUCUCACCUCCAGCUCUGCUUCACUCCCACCCUACUUGAUUAUAUAUUUUUGUCCUAAUAUGUUUUAUACCCCACCUCCUAUAGACUGUAAGCUCGUUUGAGCAGGGUCCUCUUCAACCUAUUGUUCCUGUAAGUAUUCUUGUAAUUGUCCUAUUUAUAGUUACAUCCCCCCUCUCAUAAUAUUGUAAAGCGCUACGGAAUCUGUUGGCGCUAUAUAAAUGGUGAUAAUAAUAAUUCUUGGUUGUAUCAUACUUUGGUCACACUGUUACUUGCUAUCAUUGACCAAAUGACAGGAGUUGAAACCUGAUUAACACACCAUGUGUUUGAAAGGUUGUGGAAUGUACCUUAAAUCUAAAGUCUAAUAGUUUUUUCUUUAGUUCUUUGUAAGCUGGCCUGCUAAUGUUUAGGUUUGUUUGUUUUUUGGUUGGUUAGUUGUUUUUUUUCUCCCUAUAAAGGAAAAUACAUAUUGUUGAAGAGUCCAAUAUAAUCUCUGUAAAUGCAAAGUUGCACCUGGACUUUUAGGCUUGGUGCUGCCUGCCGUAGUGGUUGUGGUGAAGGAAGUGCCCUGGCACUAUCCCAAAGUAGUCUGCUAAUCACCAUUUACUUGGAGCCUGCCAGGUCCCCAUGGUGUUUCCAGAUUGUAGUGGUUAUGGUACUUGGAGUAAUUCUUUAAUUUGUUACCUAUGUCAAGGUCAGUGAAGAUGUGACAGCCUUGCUAUUGUUAAACUGCAAUGUCUAUGAUCUUCUAAAUGACAGAAUAUAAUGGAAGUUCUAAUUCACCAGUUGGAGAGCAAUGGGUUCCCUGUCUCUGAAUGUAACAGCCCAAGUGUAUCUGACUGUAUUUUAGGAAACAAUUGGUCACUAGACAACAAAUAGUGGUUAACUGUAAAUAGUAGAAAUGUAACAAAGGCAGAGUUGGAAACUUUUCAGAAUUCACUAUUUUAGCUCAAAUUGUGCUAAUCAGUUUUCAGGUCACUGCGUUAAAUGUGGGUUAUCUUGUAUAAAUCAAAUCAUAGAGAAGUAUACUAUAGUAGCUGGUCUCCAGACCAGGGGUCCGGAGCCUAUGGCACAUGAGGUGCCUUUGCAUAGCACUCAAGACUGCCAGAGACACAAGCAGGCUCUGGCUUAUCAGGAGUCCCAGUGUGACUUCAGAUAUCUCCUAGUCCAAUUCGAGUUGAGAUUCCAGGUGGUGAGAAAAAAUCCUCAAUUUACACAUUGUACCACUUAGAGGAAGUGAAUUCAUAUUACUUCUUCCCAGCAUUUGUGAGGGGGAAUCCGCAGUGGAGUAGAGCAGCCCACAGCAGGUAUCUCAGAUCCUGUCCUUGACCCGUACCUGGUCAGCCCAGUUUCCACUGGACCCUGAGGAAGUCACCCACAUUGCUUGUCAUACACAAAGCAAAGAAACCUCACCCUCAUACAGAACACGCAGCCUCUCGCAUGCAUUACCUCAAGCAGCCCCACACAUACACACACCACCAAACACACCUACACACAAUGUGACAUCAUCCCCCACACACACCCCUACACACAAUGUGACAUAUCAUCCACACACACAAUUCCACAAGCAGCCCCCCCACACACCUACACACAAUGUGACUUCAUCCCCCCACACACACCCCUGCACACAAUGUGACAUAUCAUACACACACACAAUUCCACAAGCAGCCCCCCCACACACACCUACACACAAUGUGACAUCAUCCACACACACAGUUCCACAAGCAGCCCCCCCACACACACACACCUACACACAAUGUGACAUCACCCCCGCACACACACCCCUACACACAAUGUGACAUAUCAUACACACACACAAUUCCACAAGCAGCCCCCUCACACACACCUACACACAAUGUGACAUCACCCCCGCACACACACCCCUACACACAAUGUGACAUAUCAUAUACACACACAAUUCCACAAGCAGCCCCCUCACACACACCUACACACAAUGUGACAUCAUCCACACACACAAUUCCACAAGCAGCCCCCCCACACACACCUACACACAAUGUGACAUCAUCCACACACACAGUUCCACAAGCAGCCCCCCACACACACACACCUACACACAAUGUGACAUCAUCCCCCCACACACACCCCUACACACAAUGUGACAUAUCAUACACACACACAAUUCCACAAGCAGCCCCCUCACACACACCUACACACAAUGUGACAUCAUCCACACACACAAUUCCACAAGCAGCCCCCCCACACACACACCUACACACAAUGUGACAUCACCCCCGCACACACACCCCUACACACAAUGUGACAUCAUCCCCCCACACACAAACACACAAUGUGACAUCAUCCGCACACACAAUUCCACAAGCAGCCCCCCCACACACACAAUGUGACAUGACAUAUACACACACAAUUCCACAACCCUUCCCCCCCACCACCAUUUUUCCUUUUCCACAUUUAACAAAAUGACUUUACUAUCUUUUCAACCAAAUUAUUACGCAGAACCUCCAUUUUUUUUUUUUUUAUUAAUUUGUUUUGUGUGUUCGAAUCAAACUCCAAGUAUCAGGGUGCAAUAUGUUUCCUAUGUUGAAAACCAAAUAAUAAGCGCAAUAAAGUUUCUAGAAUAAAAAUAAACUCCAGCAAAAAAUUACAUCGCAAAAAAACCCGCAAAAAGUGAGUUGUGCUUUAAAAAGAAAAAAAUGUAUUUACUUUAUUUCUCAAUUACCAUUCCAUGUUCCUCAUAUUUGUAAAAAUAAAGAAACAUAAUAUAGUGCAGUAACAUCCCCUGGAUGUUGGGCAAAAGUAACAUCCCCGGGAUGUACUUGAAGUAAUCUGAAUGUACCUUUCUUGGUUAAAUACUCUGUACAUUGAUAGCAAAUGGUCUCUAACUCUGUAGGAAGCCUCUUUCUCGGCUCACCAAUAAAACCUCUAUUAAGUAAAGUGGUUCCACCUAACUGCAAUAAAAACUGGCAGUUCUCCUUUAAAUUCACUAGGAAGAAAGCCUGAGGGAGAGAGAACAGAAAGCGAGAGGAAUCCAAAGGACCAAUGGAAUUCAGCAUAUUUUUGGUAUAGCGUGUUUGUGAGAAUUGAAGUGGCUUUCUCAUCUACCGGUAUUUUAAAAGUGAGCCAUUACAUUUUAGCAUGCAAUAGAGUGCAUGUUUCCAGUUAACCUAUGGUCUGCUUUCUGUUUUCUUCUAGUUGGAUUUAAAAGAGAACUGUCAUUUUAUAUUGUAGCGAGGUGGAAUUUCUCUCCUUAAUAUGUAUUUUAUUGUUUUAGCCAAGGCUUCCUACAGAGUGUGUCCAUUUCUUAUCAUUGCGUUUCUAAUUGGUGCAAUCCAGAUAUACUACACUAUUGUGUUUGUUUAUUUUCAUAUCAAUUAUGAAAUCUGAAGGAUAAUUGAAAAUGAAAGCUGAAUUCAUGUGUUGUUAAAUUUGCCAGCUUUUCACCUUGUUUGAGUAGGCCGUUAUUAUUAUUAUUAUUGUAUAGCAUAAACCGGACUCUAAAAAUAAUAAAACGAAGGAUGCAUUCAUUGUCUAAAAGCAAUGGAAACUCAAAAACAUCAAAAGCGGUGUCCAUAUCAUUUUUGCUUUUUCUUGUAGGUGAACCAACCCUUUUUAUUUAUUUAUUUAUUUUUUAUAAAUUAUAUAUUAAAGGAUUAUACAGACAUUUGAUCAGUUUUUUAAAAACUGUAAAUGUGCCUGAAGAUUGUCAUGUGAAACCCCAUGAUCUAGAGAUUUCUCACUGCAUUUUCAUUUUUUGAAAAAAAGAUUUAGAGGAACAUUUUGGACAACAAGGGUGUUUGUUCAUUAAGUAGGUUUCCAUGGUGAUGGAGAACCUCAAUACAUGAAUGUGUCUGUAUUGGCUGUAUACAUUGUGUUUAUGGGUGAAUUUAAAAAAAAAACCAAAAAACAUGACAUUAUAUGAUCUGUUAUUGCUACAAUUUAUAACAUUGCAUUUGAAAUCUUAAACUGAUUUUCUGCUUUCUAAAUGUACUUUUAUUAUAUUCUUUGCAGUUGCUUCUUUUCCUGUAUUUUUAUUGCCAUACUAUUAUUCUUGAAAUUAGCAUGAUAUAAACAUGGCUUCACCAGAGCGACAGGGUGUAAUUAAGUUGCUACCUCUCCUGAUGAUUCAAAAUGAUUUUUAUUUAUUUUUUUCCAUAUAGGACCCGCACUAUACUGAAUACUAUUGAAGCAUUGUUUUGUUUGCAGGUAUUUUGUUUGUUUAUUUAUUACAAACACUACCGGUAGUUAUUUUUUUCAAUGUUAAAGUGACUCUUUAACUCCCCCUCAUCCCCCCAAUUUUAAAAAUAAAAUUUUAUGUAAAAUGCUCGUAAAGGCUUUGUUGGGAUUUCAUUAAUAUUCCAACACGGUCAGAAGAUAUGAAUAGGGACUUUGUCUUAUGGUAAAUCUCUAAUUUGGCAAAAGGUGGAGCUACCGCAGUAAAGUUAAAUUUUCCCUCUUUCGUCGCUAGACAACAUCUAGGGAGGCUCUCACAGAAUUUUCCAUACGCAUCAGUGUUGUACUAUUACCUGCGCAGCACUGAUGUGAGCUCCUGGAGAAUGAAGCACCAGGAACUGAAGGUCAAAGAUGGCGCCCGCUGGGGCAACAUCCGGUUAGUAUAACUCACCUCUAAUGCACCCAAAGCAGCAAUAUCAUCAUGGAGGUCUUUAAAGCGACUCUGCCUCCAUUUGGGUCAUUGCAUAAUUUACAAAGACCCCUUGUAGUGACAUCGCUGCUGGGUGUCCGGUGGUGCAGGGGAAGGUGUUCUACUCUUCCACCCUUACACGUCACGCUCCUGGUGCUUCAGCUUCCAGGAGCUGUUGUUAGUGCUGUACUCUUGCGCAUGCAUGAUAGUACAACAUGGAGGUCUGUGAAGAAUCCUGUGGCAUCCUCCAUAGACAGAGCCUUUUCUUGCAAAAGCAUAAUAAUCAUGGAUAUAGUAUUUAAUCUAAUGAGCAAUCUGACUGCCAUUCUGGGGUCAAGAAUGAUAAAAAAAAAUUCUAGUUUGUUAAAAAUUGGAAAAUGCUUCAAACUUUUUUUGCUUGUUUUUUUUGCCUUCUUUUGGAUCAACAGCAGAAACCGAUUUGAGAAAGUACAUUUUCCCCAGUCUAUGUUGCUAUGUAAUAUAUGGUUUGAACACAGUGUGAUAGUGAACCAAAUUGUUUGUAACAAAGGAAAAUGUAAAGCUAAUUGCUACUUCCAUUGUUCUGUACAGCUACUCUUUUGGAAAUGCUAUAUCAAGGCUCACCUAACCACAACCCAAGCAAUGUCUCCACACUCAGCCUUGCCAACAUUAUUGAUGAUCAACAUGUCUUCUUUAGCCAACAGGUCAACCAAUACAAGUUGGCCUUUUUUAAAUGUAUUUAUUUAUAUAGAGAUCCCAGACAGUCUGCUUUCAUGUAGAGGUCUUAGAUGCCCUCUAGUUAUAGAUGGGUCCUAGAUCAAUGAAGGCUGACAGUGGUACACCAUCUGGGAUGCAAAGUUGGUGCUAGAAAAGGUUUUAGAAGGUCUGUUUUCAGAAGUCCAUCUUGGCUUACUGAAGGUAUUCCUUCAUCUUUGUCUAUUCCUGGUUUUACCGAGUUGAAAAUGUCUAGUCAAAAGUAAGUCUGUAAAGUUGUGUUCCAGCACUGGGAUUGUGUGUGUGUGUGUAUGUGUGUAUAUGUGUGUAUAUAUAUAUAUAUAUAUAUAUAUAUAUUAAUUAUGUAAUCACCAUUUGCCAUAGAUUAGUGGACUCUACGUGUAGCAAGCUAUGUUUAUCAAACUAUUCUUUGAUGUGUAGCAAACUAUACUUUGUGAUCAUAUCCUUUGCUUCAGCUGUGUGCGCAUCUGAAUAAUAGUGUAGUAUUAUCAUAGGUUGGAGAUAGAACCCAACGUUAUUGCUCACACAACAGAGAUAAGACACAUCCAUAGCUUAAUAAAGGAAUGAUGUCUGCAGUAACAUAUUUUGCUCUCUACCUUGCCUGUCCUUGUUUUAAUUGUGUUUUCCUGUAAUUUAUGACACAGAAAAAUGUGACUGACUCUAGAUUUGGAACUCUGUCUGUUUGAGCAUUUAAAGGCAUACCAGUCCGUGUUUGAUCUGCGUUAAACAAAGCAGAAAAUGGGCGAGAGGGAGUAAGGUUUUUUUUUUUUCAGCUAAAACUGAUGUUUGGUAGAAGCCCUGGAGGGCUGUUUGUAGUUCACACUGUACUCUUUGGCUUUUUAAGAUAUGCCAAGUGCUAUAUUCAUAUUGGAGGAGAAGGUGCGGUGUGUUAAGACUGUCCCAGGCAGUGGAAAAUAACAUCAGACACUGUGCUAUGUUAUGUGAUGGUAAAAUAUUCAUGCAGACAAUUCUGCGAUUCAAAGAGUUCUGUUAAUGCGCUGCAUUGACUAGAAUGUUGCUAUGCAGCACGGAAGCACGUGCUUGGCUUUCAUUGUCUGAGAUGUUAGAGACCCGAGCUUCAGCUUUCAUGAUAUCACAAACAGAAUAACAAUAGUCUUUAAGGCACCCAGUCUCCUUUUAUUCCAGUGGCUGCUAAUACAUUGGAUUACCUGUUCAUACCUUAUAUUUUAAAUAUCACAUUGUGUUAUGGAUUGCACCACCCUAUAAGCUGUUGACACUAAAAUUAAAGGAUCACUAUAGGGUCAGGAUCACAAACAUGUAUUCCUGACCCUAUCGUGUUAAAUCCACCAUAUAGGUUGCUUGCCCACCCUUUAAAAGUUUAAAACUCACUUUAUUUACAGCGCUGCGCAGGUCCGCAGGCUUUGCUCCGCCCUCUUUAUGACAUAAUCAAAAUGGCCGACUUUUAGCCAAUUUAAUGCUUUCCCAUAGGGAAAGCAUUGGAUUGGCUAAAAUCGGCACCAGGGCAGGGCCAAAUGCAGUUUUGGCCGAUCAGGACCUCCUUAUAGAGAUGCAUUAAAUCAAUACAUCUCUGAGGUAAAUUUAGCGUCUCCAUGCAGAGCGUGAGGACGCUGAUCGGCAGGGCUGCUUACUGUGCAGCCCUGAGCCAGGAAGCCCCUCCAGUGGCCAUCUGAGGAGUGGCCACUUGGAGGUGUCCCUAGGGGCAAUGUAUUUUACAUGAAAAUGCCCAAAGGGAGCCAUUAUACUCACCAGAACAACUACAUGAAGCUGUAGUUGUUCUGGUGACUAUAGUGUCCCUUUAAAGCAAAAACAGCUUUAACUUAAUGAAGCAGUUUUGGUGUAUAGAUUAUGCAUCUGAAGUUUCACUGCUCAAUUCACUGCCAUUUAGGAGUUAAAUCACUUUUGUUUCUGUUUAUGCAGCCCUAGCCACACCUCCCCUGGUUGUGACUGAUAGGGGUUUCCAUUUGCUCACUUGUGUCUUGGAAUGGUAUGUGUUGUAUGAGUGUAUAGUAAACUAGAACAAUGUUUGUCAAAUGCCAGAACCUAGUGAGAGAAAAGUUGAAAAGUUAGUGAUGGUGUUUAGUGCAUUCCUGAUACCGAGUGAGAAUAAGGGUCAGGACGAGUUAUUAUUCAGAGGGGAGCCUAGGAAUAAGAGGUGGGGGAAGGGAUUGUGUCUGUUGUUUGCAGCUGGCAGAUAGUAUUGACCUUGACGCUCCCAUAUCACUGCAUUGUGCAGGUAUGUAUAUUGCUUUGGCACCUGGAAGAACAUGAAUUUGCAAGAUUCCAUAGUGAGUCGCUUGUAUCAAAAGAUUUCCUUGGGAAAAGAAAUGCUAUCGCCAUACCUAUGCAUAAAGUAAUGAUGUUCAAAACAACAACAAAAAAACAUUGUAACAACUGGUAAAAUGGAAGUGAUGUGAUUGUUGUUUAAACAUUGUAUAAAGUAGGUGCAACAUUGCUCUGUGCAUCACAUCACUUAAUUGUGCAAAAAUUCUCAACAGUCCAAUUCUCCAUGUACUAUGUGAAAGAAGUGAGCAAAGCCGGAAAACCUAAAAUGUAACCGAAGUCUCCACGUGGGUCUUCCUUUUAAACCUAACUGACUGGAGCAACCAAGGUAGGACUAAAAUAAAUGAAGGUGGCCUUCCAAGCCGGAUUACAUAUUAGAUGGCCUGGGACCCCAAUUCAAACAGGAGCCCGGGGCUUCAGCUCUGGCUUUUAGGGGUCCCACCUUGACCCGGAAGGUGGGACCUCUCUGCUCUGUGCCUUUCACCCUUGGUCAAGGAACCCCCUCCCAUUUAUUUUUUUUCCCUUUCAUCUCAUCUCUUCAUUUCUGGACAUAGCUUGUCUUUUGUAUCUUCUUUCUUCUUUUCCUCCUUUUUUUUUUUCUGUUAGAUAUAUGAUCAGUUUGGAAUGUCCAAAAAUUACCCUAUGUUUGUUCAUCUACCUGUCAUUUAAAUCAUGCAUUUACAUCACUUAUAUGUGGAGAAAAUAGAGAUUUAUGACCCACUUUUAAACAAAACAAAAAAAAGAGCAGCUUCUCAAUUAUAUUUUAAAGUCCUUAGAAAACUGACACAAAAAUGUUAAGUGGGUAGAUUCCUGUAUCACUUACCUGUCAACAUUGACAGGUAAGAAGCAGGGACAAGUUUUGUGUUGUGUGUUUAGUCCCAGUAAUCCUAGAAUCCUGUAAACUAUGUUAGAUCAGACACACACAGAACAUCUGGGCUGGAAAUUAAUGAAAAUGUUUCAAAAUAGUUGGCUAACCAUUUGGCUAUUACAAUAAUAUUCUUAUUCUUAUUUUAUUAGUUAUAAAGCGCCAACUGAUUCCGCAGCGUUGUACAAUAUUUAGACAUGCAGAGUCUACAUAAUUGUUGUAAUAGCCUUUCUUGUUUGAAUUUGUGAGAACUGUAUACAUUCUUAUGUAGCUUUAUAAAGAUAGUAUCUGAGAUUUGUAUAGCUCUGGUCUCAAUUCUACAUUAGUUACUUGGCCAAAAUAAAACCCAUUCUGAGCACUGUGUGCCAGUGUUGUACAUGCUGCUUAAUUCAGUUCUUAUCAGUCUGACUUCUGAACCCAGACAGGAGCUAUGCCAGCUAUGUGUGGUAUUUCCCCUAAAGGUAACAGAAUAAAGUGUCUCCCAAAUCCCUGGAUGGAAUUUGGAAAACGGAAAUGGACAUCCUUGGCACUGCAGAGAUUUGUGAAAUACAUUAUUAUUUAUUAAUUAUUGUAUUUAUAUAGCGCCAACGUAUUACACAGCCCUUUACAUUAUUAUAAAAAGGGGAAAUGGAACAAUAAAUGAGACCAUUACAAAAUGUUACAGGAUCAAUGAGGACCAUGCUCAAAUAAGCUUACAAUCUAGAGGACAUCUAACAGAAAGCCCGGCCAGUGGCGCACACAUCCCCAUUGCCAAAGUACGGCUCUACACGGAUUCCCCAAUGUCUCCCCCGUUUCCUUAAAACAGGUUCUAAAAUUGGAAUUUUGUAUUUAUUUGAGAAGGGUGUUUUUGGGUGCAAGCCAACAUAUUCAUCUUGUUGUUGCCUCCUGUUCUGUUCUGGAUGUAACCGCCGUUCUUUUUCCUAAAUGACUUUCUGUUUAAUAAAGAGGAGCAGGAAUUAAUAUGUAUUCACUACUGAAUAAGGACAGAGCUCUAUUUAUAAAUCUGGGUAUAAAGAUCAUUUCAUCAGGUUUUUUUGGGGGGGUUUUUUCCUUUGCAGAAGGUUGAGCAUAAUCUUGAUUAGCUGCGUUGAAGUAGAUCUAAUUAAACCCAUGUGAUAUUGAUUAGGUACAAUGUAGUGUGAUGCAGUUUCAUGGCAGAGAUUGGAAUGUUUGCGUUAUUACAGUGUUCUGAACGAAGAUCACAUACUAGACUAAUUCAGCAAAGCACUACAAAGAAAUGAAAUUGUGACUGCGCUAUGACAUAACUGCAGGAAUUUCAUUGUAUGCAAUUAUUUGGGAGUUAAAGGGCUCCUCUAGACACUAUAACAACUUUCCAUGAUUGCAAAGGUUCUGUUUGCACAGCUUGCUGAUGAUGGCUUAUUACUGCAGUGAUUUGUAAAAAUGUCUGCAUCUAUAAACCAGCUGUAAGAGCAGAUUUCAUCUUUUACUGUGUCAACACAAGCUGCACAAACUAGUAAGGAAUACAUUUUUCCUCCCUGGAUCAGACGAUGUGAACCGUGCUUUGUAUAAAGUAAUAUCAGGCGCAGUAUCGUCGCAAUCCGUUUACAGAACAGGUUCACUCAUCCUAUGUAAUAUGUGGAUCUGUGGGUGGGGGAUAAUUGUCUUAAUAUACAGUCCUGCUGGAUAGAGACGUAUGGGAUAAGCGCAAACUCCAUAGACCAAAAUUAGAUGCUUCUGAUUGGUGGAGCUUAUUCCUCAUGAGGAAGGAGUUUUCAGAUUGCUGACACCAGCUACGACUUUAUUUUUUUAUUUUCUUAAAGGACCACUAUAGGCACCCAGACCACUAUAGGCAAUGAAGUGGUCUGGGUGCCAGGUCCCCCUAGUUUUAACCCUGCAGCUGAAAACAUAGCUGUUUCAGAGAAAUGGCUAUGUUUACACUGCAGGGUUAAUCCAACCUCUAGUGGCUGUCUCCCAGGCAGCCACUAGAGGCUGCUUCCGCGAUUUACACAGAGUAAAUCUCACUUAUUUGACACUGGACGUCCUCACGGAGUCCAGCAUCAAAAAAGAUCCCCAUAGGAAAGCAUUGAGUGAUAUUUCCUAUUGGCAGGUUUGACUGCGCCUUUGGCUGUGCAUGCGCAUUCGGCUCCACUCGGGAGCUGACGUUGAUGGAGGAGGAGAGGUCACCAGUGCCGAGGAAGCCUGGCGCUGGAUUAAGGUAAGCAAACAAAUGGUUAAUUAACCAUUUAUUUGCCACGGAACAGAGCCCUAGUCACAGUUUAGGUGACUAGGGCUCUGUAGCGUUAGGAAUACAUAUUUGUAUUGCUAACGCUUUAGUGCUCCUUUUAAAUAUAAUUGUAUUUAAUUUUUUUUUCAGAAUAAACUGCAUAUUUAACAAUGCAUAGAGGGAGUGCAAAUUGAAAGUAGAGAGAAAGUAAUGAGGGGAAAAAAAAGAGGAGGGGAGGAAAAUCCACAUAAAAGACAGUACGGGUAAUUCCAGCAGUGAAGUGUCAAUUAGAAUUAAUUUGUGGACCCCUGGGUGUAGCCCCUCAGGCAGGAUGCAUCUCCACAUUUUGUAAAGAAAAUGUGUUCUGGUCUGAGAGUAGGGUCACUAGAUCUAUGGAUAAUAGCGCACUGGAGACAAUUGUGUCAAUUUUGUUUGGUAGAUCAGAUGAGUGGUAAUCCAGCAUUAUUUGGCAAGAUAGAAGGCAGUUCCUACUUAUUAAAGGGACCCAAUAAGUCACAUUAAUACUGUAGCUCAUUUUGGUGGUUCUUGUGUCAGCAGUAUUUGGGUGCAAACCCUGAAGUCUUGUCAAACCCUUUCAGGCCGGAACAUUUGUUGUACAGUCACUUUUACUGUUAGAGGAUUUAAACGUGAUUUUGUUUCUAGACGGGGUGCUAUUUUUAGGAUAAGGUUUGAAUGACAGGUUUUUAAUAUGUAAGCCAAUUGAGGGAUUAGGAUCUAUCUAAUCACACAACAAUAUGCUAACUUGUUUUCUCUUAAUGCUUAUCUAACUGGAGCUGAGGAAACAAUGGUUUUGUAGAUGCUCUGAAGCAUAGCUUUUUCCAGUAAUCAUGGCGGACACAAGUACCUUAUUAAUAUAUCUUUGAUGUGUUUUCUGCUUAGCCUAGCACUGCCUAUCCGAAAGUGUGCCUACUAUGACAUUACAUUCUGAAAAGACAUUGUUAAAGAAGCAAGAGGGUCUUUGUAGCCCCUUAGGACUAAACUAGAGAAUGUUUGUUAUGCAGAACGUGCUUUGAUUUCUGGACUGGCCUUAUUCUUAGGGGCUUACAAUUGGGAAAAUCAAUGCAGCCACACUGACCUUCCCUGCGUUUCUAUCCGUGUACCUUCACGCAUACACGAACAUUGUCUGGUUUCUUGAAGAUCAUAACUGUUUAUAUAUUCUUCAUCAUCUUUUGUAUCAAUAAACCCUGCAACAUUAUGAUGUAAAGUUAAUUUCUAACCCUGUAACAGCAGGCCACUUUCUAUUUUAGGGGAGUUUAAUAUUAACCCGAUCCCAAGGCUAAACCACUUUCUAGAUUCCAUGCUAAAGCUUUAAUGGGUUAAUUGCACCCAGAUGUUUUUGGGACAGAUUAUUUCCUUGCCCAUUACCCAGCAUCAGACUAAACCCACAUGCAACCAGUCUUUGGUUGGAAGUCUCGCUAAGCAGUGCCCCUGAUCCGAGAGAGAAUGUGCAUACCAUCUUAUCUCUGUAAGUGGUCAAACUAUUGACAUGACUUGGGAAAUAAAGUUUAAAGUGGUACAUUAAAGAGCCAAUGUAUUCUUUGUUUUAUUUUCUUGCUCUCCAAAUUAGGGAAGAGUUUUAUUAGUCCUCAGAUGCCUGUGUUAAUUAUUCUGAAAAGCUAGUUACAGAAAGUAAAGCUGUAACAACCCAUCUCCCCUGGGCUAUGCUAUCUGUCACCGUCUGAUUUAUGGAUGGAUGACCCAUCUACAGAGAAGAGGGUACAACCUUGGUCAUUCUCUCCUAUGUGGUUUCCUGAUUCUCUGGAACCUGGGAGUCCUAUAAAUGAAGACAAAAGACUUCCUUCUGUAGAGUACUGUAGCUAAUGGAUUUGUGUCAGUAUUCCUGUACUUUGUCACUAGCUCAUGUGGGUGAUAAAUGCUUCUAAUCUCACCUUAUUUAGUUUGGAAAACUAUUCUUCAGUCUGCGAGCAGUAUAUUAUAUAUGUAUGUAUAUUUCUGGAAUACACCCUGUCCCUUCCCCCCCCACACCCCCAUCUACUCCCUUCUCGUUAGUAAAUUGUCAUGCUGGCUUUCCUCCGAAUUCUCAUUGCAGAUUGCUUGUUUUAGGUGUGGAAGCACAUUCCCUUGGGAUCGAGUUAAUAUAUCUAGUUGCUAUGGUGAUAUAAUUAUCCAGGAUUUCAAUGAGGAUUCUUAAGGAAAUGCAACUUUUGAGUGUGUGUGUGCGCGUGCAUUGUGUUUAAUAUUCUUUCUUAUGGCACCAAGCUUUCUAGAACUGUCUGUAAAUCUCAAUGAGUCAUGUUAAGCAUAAAGGCAGAGUCCGUGAUUUCAAGGUCGAUUGAGAUGAGGCGUUGUAGGGUAUUUCCUUUAGUGAUUUAAUUAUUCAUAAAAAAUCAAUUCUGCUUAGCUUAACAGCUGAAAUUUUGUUGCAGUUGCUGUCUUAAUUUAUGUUCUGUUGAUGCCUUUAUUUAAACAUUCUAAAAAAACAAAACAAAAAAAAAAACCUACAUUGACUUCAGCUAGACACAUGCGAAACAGAAAAAAAUCAUAGAAUUCAUAUGUUUGCCUCAAUGUGGACAAAUCUGGCAACGACAGAUCCAAAUCCCACAUACAAAUAAACAAGUUCUGGCUUUUGUGUAUCCCAAUUUUUAAGCUGAAUGGCUCAAUUGUUUCAUCAACUGGUUUAGUCAAAGUGACUGUCGCAAGCUGCAAUGUUUUGAUACUUUACAGGGUUUGUUCACUAAAAUAAAGAAUUCAAAUGAAUUUAAAGAGAAUUUCAAGUUCACGGUAAAAAUAGCCAAAUUGGAAAAAUUCUCUGUCUACUAUGUUUUCCGUUUGCCUACUCUGGCCUUGAGUUUGAAAUUCGCCUUGAUUCUCACGUUAGUAAAUAAUCCUGUAAAUCCCAUUUUAAAUAGUCCUCAUAAUAAAGACCCUCCCACUAAUUGCACUAUACGUGGCUCAUACAUAUCUAAGCCAAGGAUUGACGGACAUUCAAGAGCAGGAGAACCCUCCAAAAAGUCGUUCCUCGACUCUCCAUCACAAUGAAUCUUCCCAGCGAGCAUUUCUCACGUUUUCGAAGGAAUAUUGACAUUCUGACUAUGAUGAUGAUGACGUGCAAUGAAAGCCGCAUGUCAUCAGGGAGGAUUGCCCUGUUUGGGGAAGUGUCCCUAAGUGCAGACCUUAUACUAGCUGCCACUCAGUACUGCCACAUAGUUGCAUUACUUUAUCUGCACAGUCUAAAUAUUUCCAAGUGGUUUCUUUGCAGAGAAUCUAAAAAACCACUUGUGCUUUUGUGCUAUUUUCUCAAACAUGACCAUGAAUUCAGUUCACACGAAUGGCUUGUACGUUCUCCAGCCUUCAGUCUUAGAGUGAGAGGUUUUAGCAUGAGUGUGUGAAAAUAUUCAGGAUGUGAUAGGGUGAUAUGAAGACUAGAUUUAUCCACUAUACACAACUGGUCACUUUGUGUAUUUGGGGGGAAAAAAAUAUUUAUUUAUUUACUCAUUUAUAGGUAGCUUGGUAUUGGUAUUUGUGUUUUCCUUUGUUUUGUCAAAAAAAGUCGUAUUGGAGUUUAUUCACUAAAACCAAUUUGUAGUGAACUGGAGACCGACAUGCAAAGUUUAGUCUAAAAUAGUAGUUUUGCAGAGAUUGAACUAGAGUUACAUUUGGCAAUCUGGAUGUUCUUUCUUGGUGUAACACAUCCGAGGACAACAGGUCACUGCCCCCAGCCAGCACAGGAUGAGUCCAUCAUUAGUCAGGUUCUGUUGUGUUGGGACACUAGGAUUGUGCAGAGUGUGUAUCAGCAGCACUCCAUUCUUGGAUUAUGAUAUUUUAAUGUUUCUGAAAUUUUAAACACUUUUAUUAAACAUCCAUAACAAGUUAAAGUAAUAUUAAAAACCAUGGGAAGUGACAAUACUCCAUUAAAAAGACCGAGUAUAGAUCGAGCCGGGAUCCCGUGCCACACAAUUUUUAUACUUUGAAUUCCCAUAAUAAGAACCAUUAUAAUUUAAAAAUGCCAUGUAAGUUUGUCUCGAAUUACAAGGGGCCGGUCUGAUUUUAGCAGAUGUAGAUAGGCAUGUGCCAAGGGUCAGGGCCAGAUUAAGAGCCCAGUGGGCCUGGUGCUGACAAUUAUGAUGGGGCCUAAUUACAGAAACUUAUCGACCAAAAACACUAAAACAGUCAUACCUCUCGAGUCAUGUAUCUGAUGGAGUUGGUGUUGGAGGGAAACUCAAAGGAUGCAGCUAUAAGAAAACACAUACUCUAUGCUAAUCUCACAGUGUUCGUGGGCGGGAUAAAAGGGUGCACCACUGACGCGAAUCACGUGACCAGAACUGCCAAAAGGGGCGAACAUGCCCAAAAAGGGGGCAUGUCUGUCCAAAGAAUUGGAAGGACAGCCUGGCAUCAGUGUCCCUAUGUAUCACAGUGUCAAUGUCCCCAUGUCGCCCAGUCCCCUAGUCUCCCAGUGUCUGUGUCCCCAUGUCUCAGUGUGUCCCGUGUCACUAGGAUACUAGGGGACACUGAGAGACCCGGGGACACAGAGAGUCAUGGGGGCACUUGUGAAUACAGAUAUGGGGACACUGGGAGACAUGAGGACACAGACAUUUGGGGACACUGGGAGAAAUGAGGAGACAGACACUAGGGACACAGACAUGGGGACACAGACACUAAGGACACUGGCUGGGAGGCAUGGAGACACAGACACUUAGGGACACAGGGAGAAAUGGGGCACUUAUGGACAUAGACAUGGAGACACUGGGAGGCAUGGGGACACAGACAUUUGGGGACACUAAGGACACAGACAUGGGGACACAGACACUGGGAGACAUGGGGACACAGACACUAGGGACACUGGCUGAGAGACAUAGGGACACUGGGAGACAUGGGGACACUAAGACACUAGCUGGGAGUCAUGGGGACAUUGAGAGAUAUGGGGACACAACACUUGGGGACACUAAGGACACAGAGACAUGGGGACACAGACACUGGGAGACACGGAGACACUAGGGACACUGGACAUGAGAGACAUGGGGACACAGAGAGACAUGGGGACACAGACACUUGGGGACACAGGGAGACAUGGGGCACUUGUGGACAUAGACAUGGGGACACUGAGACAUUUUGGAACACUGGGAGACAUGAGGACACUAAGGACAUAGUGACAUGGGGACACUAGGGACACUGGCUGGGAAACAUAGGGACACUAGGAGACAUGGGGACACUGGCUGGGAGACAUGGGGACACAAAGACAUGGGGACACAGAUACUGGGAGACUAGGGGACACUGGGAGCCAUGGUGACAGACAUUUGGGGAAACUAAGACACUAGGGACACAGAGACAUAGGGACACAGACACUAGGGACACUGGCUGGGAGGAAUGGGGACACAGACACUGGGAGACAUGGGGCACAUGGGGACACUGGGAGACAUGGGGACACUGGGAGACAUGGGGACACUGGGAGACAUGGGGACACUAAGGACACAGAGACAUGGGGACACUGAGACACUGGCUGGGAGUCACGGGGACACUGGGAAACAUGGGGACACUGAGAGACAUGUGCCCCCAUGUCUCCCUUCUGCCUUUCCCCCAUCCUUCACUUACCUGAGCUGUAGUCUGUCUCUGCAGGCUGGGAGCUGCUGUCUGGACUCUCUGUGCUGUGUAGCUGCUCCCUCGUGGAUCAGUGAGUAGAGAGAGGCAGGGAGAUGCUAUAACUUCCUAUCCCUGCCUCUCUCCACACACACUGACCCCUACUGGCCGGUGCUGGUAAAAAUAUUAGCAUUUGUAUUGCUGGUAUUACUGCAGUAUCGUCAUGGCCAGGCAGUCUCCAAUACCAGCUGUGCCUUAAAAUACCAGUCAGGUGGUAAACCUAAGAGUAGUCUGUAAAAAAAAAAAAAAAAAAAAAGUUACUUUUUUUUAUUUCUUUAUUUAAUUUUUUUUACAAUGGGCCUAUUCCAUGGGUCUGGGCCUGGAGCUGCAGCUCCAUCAGCCCCUAUGUUAAUCCGGCCCUGCCAAGGGUCUGUACCUUAGCUGACAUUUUAUUAACUCUUUGCAUAUGCAAUGGGGUUAAUUGACUUUUUCUUUUUUGUUUUGUUAUUUAAGCACUAUGAGCAAUUCAUUUGGACACUGAUUAGAUAUUUAGGAUCCUUGGGUCAUGCAGAUGUUGUUAUUUUUAUAAAAAGAGACACUGUCACCUUCAUAUAAUGGGAUCUGCGAAUAUUCUGCCAUUGAAUAGAUAAUUCAAUUCAGCUCAAGGGUGUUCUGAAAUUUUAAUUUCCUGAUAUACUCCUGGAUAACUUUCAUCGUACAGUAGAUUGCUAUGUGAUACAAUAACUCUUUGAACAUCUGUACAUUGUGACACUCUACAGUCCAUGAAAAUUAGGUCAAUUAAACUACAAACGUGUUUACCGUGUUUCACCACAUUACAGCUGCAGAUUUUAUGUCUAAUUCCUUUCCCUAAAAAUGGGGGUGCAACCAUUAUGUGAAGCUUUAGUUUUUGCAAUAUUAUAUGCGAUCAUUAUGUGAAGCUUUGUUGUUGAUUUUUUUUUAAUUUUUUUUUUAGCAGUUGCUGAUAACACUAUAGCUGCUGAGAACAUAACAUAGCUGCUGAGAAUAUGUACAUUUCCUAAUGCGUGAUAAAAAAUACAAUAAAUUGAUAGGUAAUACAUCCUCUCUAAAGUAUAAGAUCAGUAGGAAGUUCGCCAUCAAUUUUCAAGAAUAAGAAGAACCGCAAUGGUCAGUUAUGCAACCAUUACGUGAUGGCUUGUAUUGGAACCAAUUGUGUGGUGCUGACGAUUAUGCUGUGAAAUACAGUAUUUUUGCAUUAUACCCUAACACAGUAUAUAUAAUGUGAAAUUCAGCCCCAGCAAAUAAAGGCAGAGCUGCCCACUAUGAGGGAAAGGAGUCGUGUUUGUUAGUGUGAUGCCCCUCCGGAGCAUCCUGGGGUGCUCUGGGGUGGAGUACAUGUCCUGGAUUUUUAUUUUGUUCAACGUAAACUUGCGUUUGCUAGUGAUUUGUCUCUGGUGUCCUCCAUAGUGGGAUACCAGAGAACAACUGUGGAACAGGACUGUUAAAGUGUGUUGUGUGUAUGCAUGGAUGCUCCCUGUGGUGUUGUAUGUGUUUGGAGAUUUUGUGCAAUUGCAUGUGUGUAUAGGAGACUGUUUGUUUGUUUUUGUGUAAAAGGGUGUGUUUGUGGCUAGGGGCUGUAGUGUGUGUUUUUAUAGGCCCUGUAGAGUGUGUAGGACUAGGGGGUGUUGUGUAUGGACUGUACUGUGUGGCUGGGGGGGUCGAUUGAGAGCAAGGGCAAGGUGACACACAGCGAGAUGAUCUCUGGUGGUCCAGUGAUUUGGUCUGUACCUCUGCAGGGUACAGACCAUGUCUCUGACUCUCACGAGUGCCAGUAUGACAGAGAUAUGCCGCGGGUUACCAUGGCAUCGCUCUGUUAAUAUCAGCGCUCGCGAGACACAGGUGUCUGGAUGAAUUUUUCCACUCCAGCUUGGGAAUCUCUCCUCUGGCCCAUGAAGAGACCUUGUUCCUUCUUAGGGCCGGUGCAGCCCUGCAUGGCAGCACCUCGGCCAGUGGCCAUCGCGGCCCACUGGGCAUUUGCCCGAUGGCCAGUCCAGGCCUGGUGUCCAUAAUCCGCUACAAGGUAGCUCAAUAUUUAUACUUUGACAAACUGGCACAAAAUCAUGGUUAGAAUUGGUGCUUGGUUUCCAAACCUUUUGUGGUUGAUGCGUGAAGUAUGAGAUCCAGAGGCUGUGCAUUUUCCUUUUUGAUGUUCUUUAUUGCAGCCACCUUAAUUUUAUUUUAUUUAGGAUAAUUUCCCUUUGGGUCUUGGCCUCUGCAAUAGAAAUGCUUGUUUAGUAAGACUCAAGUUGGGUGAUUGACUUUGGUAGUCGAGUCAGGGUUUUACACAUUGAGAAAGUCCUAGGUUGCAGAUUGCUUAGAGCAGAGAUGGCAAGGUGAUGUCUUUCAAUACGUUUUGAAGCACUUGGUUAGGUGAUUCUGUACGCUUCAGCAUUAAUUCUGCUGCUACGCUAAUCAUCCGUAAAGACAAAUGAGACAAAUUCAUUGCCAGCCCAUAUGUUGAAGCCAUAACCUCACAUCCAACAAGUUUUACAUAUGACAUGGAAGUGGUAUUCAUAGAAAUGUGAAUUUUAUUGAAUUCUACUUCCAUGAGUCUGGACCAGGUUAGUCCUGCUUCUUUUCUGUCAUCAAGUCGUGUUUUUUUUUUUUUUGUUUUUUUUAGAAUGCUAAAUGUUUAAAGUACUGUUUAGUAAACUGCAAGCUGGCUUUUGUGUCCUUGGUCUUAUCAGUGGUUUGUCUCUUGUGGUUGACCGCUAAGAUUUCCAUGGUGUAGUAUUUACUUUGGCUACUCUUUAAAAUAAGUAAAUAAACCUAUAACAAUAUCUAUAUCCUGCAGUAAGUGCAAGGUCUUUUAAUACAGCAAUUUUUCAUGGUGUCAGAGAUCGUAUGCUAUUACUUAGAUCACCGGCAAAUUCCCAUCUCUUUAACAGUGUACCAAACCGUUAAUUUUGACACACCUAAUGUGUCAAAAAAGUGUAAUAAAAAUCAGAGAUAAUGCCAGAAUCUCUGAUUUUUAUUACACUUUUUCAGCUUCGCUCUGCUUUACUGGUUUAGGCACUUCUUUCACUUAGUAAUGAGAGACAACAGCAACAGAUUCAAAAUGCAAAUACCACCUACAGAAUCAAACAAAUUACCAAAUAUUUUGGCACCCCAUAAUCUGGAGGGACUAUGUGCUCUGAUAAUUUGGUUUUUGUUUUUUUGUUUUUUUUUUAAAACACAAAUCUCCUCCUUCACUCCUCUACCCGGCUCAGAGUGUGCACAUGCAUUCUGAACCUGCACACGUGUCUAGUCCAGGGAUAGACAAUCUAUGGCACGUGUGCCAUGCACGGCACGAAAGACUGCUAGAGCCAGACAGGUUCUGGCCUAUCAGGAGUCCCAGUGAAACUUUAGAUGUCUGCUAAUACGAAAAGGGGGUUAGGGACAAUCCUCAAUUUAUGCAUUGCAGCACAUGGAGGAAGUGAUCUCAGAUCAAAGAAUAGGACGCAACGGGAUAUCACAAUCUUAUUUUGGUACAGUGCUGCUAAAAGGUUGCCUACUACUGGUCUAGUCAAAUGCGUCUAUGUGAGAAGCAUUUGAUUGGACCAUGGAGAGUAAGGCAGUGAUAUGGUCAAAGGAACAUUUUUACUUUAUUUAAUAGCAAUUUUAUAAAGUAAUAAGGGGGGGUUACCUAUUAACUAAUGUCCAGUAAGGCAAUGUAAAUUAAUUAAACAAACAUAAGAAAAGGGUUAGAGUAACCCUUUAAAAUUGUGAUUUUAGUAACCCCUGUGUUACAAUGAGUAAUAUUCUACUGUUAUUUGAUACCGACUACCAGUUGUCUCUAAAAUGCUUCCUUCCAGUCUUUUUAUAGUUUGUUUCCUUUAACGUUUGUGCGGUUAGAAACACAUGAAUUUGUUUUCUCUGGAGAUAAAAAAUGUUUUUUUUUGUUUUUUUUUUUAAAAUAAGGAAACAUUAAAAUUCAAAACGUACUAUAACUAUUAGGUGUAUUAAUGAAGCAUGGCACGGUUCAAAAACCCACUUAAAUUUUAUUUUUUAAUUUUUUUAAUUUACAUUUAUGCGGAGUACCAUGUGAGUGAUCUGUAAAUUAUAAUAUAUUACAUUUAUUCAAUUGAUUGACAAAUCUACAUCCAUGCAGGUACACAAACUUAUAAAUGUAUAUCUCAACAGUAAAGAUUUCCUUAUCUCUGGCUACUAAUCUUGGAGAGUACAGACACAGUCUUUAGGUAAGCAUGUUGUCUAAUCUAUCAGUUUGCUGAAGGCUUUGUGUGUGUGUGUGUGUGUGUGUGUGUGUGUGUAUAUUUAUUUAUUUAUUUAUUAGUGGUGUGUGUAUGGUGGUUUUUUUUUGCUCAUCCUUGGGUCCUCUAACAGAGGCCUGGGAGUCUGAGGGUUCAGAAGUGGAAGUAGAAGUGUACAUAUCCAGGGCUCAAUUACUGCUAUAUAAAUAUCAUAAUUUCUUACCUGUAAGACUUUUUUGUUUUUCACAUGUUUUGUGAUAGAGUUCUCUUGUAGAAAGUCAUAGUGACUGCUGACAAAAUGUAUUGAGACAAACACAGCUCACAUAGGUUUGCCCUGGAGGCACAACUAGUGACAUUGCUUCCUCUGUUGUGCGGUAAGUUGUCAAUCAGCCCAUAUGACAAGCUAUUGUGGGGGGUUUCAAUAAUCUAAAAUCAAUUGAAAUUGCAGCACAAGAGCAAAUUUUUGCUUGCUCUGCACUUUCCCUCAUUCCUGCCGAUACUGAGUGACCGAUCAGGUCUGCUGGGUGAUCAUGAGGAUUGUAGGUAAAUCGAAGUCACAAAUAGUGACUGUUUGGUUUGACAUACAUGCUGCAUACAUGAUCGCAACUGUGGCUCACAGCUCUCAUCAGGAUUGUAACUUGGACUAAGGUCCGGGCGAGCUGUCUUUCAGAUGCAGCGAUUGUAAGAGCUGAGAGUGGGUUCAGGGUACCGUCUACACCAUCAGCUUUGAUGGUAUAGUGCUAAUAAUACAUUUUAUAAUAAUGUGCCAACAGUUUCUGUAGCUCUGUACAAUGGAACUUUGUGACCCUUUAAAAGAGGCAUUGUAAGACCUUAAUAAAACUGGGAUCAUUUCCGUAUGUGAUUAUUCCUUUUACAAUGGGAGUUUAGGGUUAACAUCCCCCUGUCUGCUCGAACAUCCCUUUGUAGACUGGAAAAGCGAUCUUGAAAAUUUUAGCGUGGCUACUUUUGGACUACCAAUCCCAUCAUGUUGUGCAAGGCUGCAUAAGCUGAAGGAAUCCUGCUCUCUUAGCCUAAACCGCCAUUUAGAUGACGUCCCUAUUUGAAGCCAUAAAUACAAAAUAAAAACACAUUCAUCAUGGAGUCAUUUUCAAAUGUAUUGGAUAUGUGUGUUCAUCCCUAGAUACAGUAAUUGCAUUGUACUAUAUUAUCCUAAUAUACAUAUUAAUAAGAAGUGUAGUAUAGAUGCAGCUAUUGAUUGUUCUUAAAAUAUUUUAAUAAAUACAAAUUUUAAACAUUUGGAAGAGCCUAUUGAUUGCCUUAUUUCCGUAUGAGCUUCAGUUUUGUUACAGUUUCCUAGGUUUAACGUUUGGAUUUCAUUAUUAAGUAGGAAGCACUCAUUUUCCCCAUAUGCUGCCCUACAUUUUAAUCAUGCAGUUUUCUCCUGCAAUUUAGCUGUAAAUCGAUUGGAGUAUAUCAAGUGUCUAGCGGCGCAAAUGAAAACAGAGCAUCAGGGCAUCCCUUGGUUGGGGGUUUGGUUGGUUGGUUGUUUUUUUAAUUAAAAAGAGAAUAACAUGUUUAAGAAGGACGACGACGUAGCACUGUUUAUGUGUGUGUGUGUGUGUGUGUGUGUAUAUAUUUCUUGUCAGAUUUAGUUAAUAUAAGUAUGAUGCCUUUCCUUUUACGAUUUGUUUUGUCUGACCAAGGGAAAUUAUUACCACCCCCGGGUUAGCCCCCCCCAUAUUGAGAAUUUUAACAAAAGAUUAUUCCAUUUGUUAGAUCUUUGUUAGAUCAGGUUUGAUCAACAAUUUUUUUUCGUUAGAUCUACUCUAAAAUAUGCGAUAUUAACAAAUGGAAUAAUCUUUUGUUAAAAUUCUCAAUAUGGGGGGGCUAACCCGGGGGUGGUGAAAUUAUUUUGUCAUCUUAAAAUGUCCUCCUAGCAUAUUUCAUAUAUUAUUCUAUUAUUAUUAACAACAUCUGCACUACAAAUCCACAAGAGCCUCAACAUUCUUAUCAGACUGUGACCAGCUAUUCCACAGGGUGUCUUGAAGCUGGACACACACAGCAGACUGAGAUCACAUAUGAUGUUCUACGACAAACCGUUUGGCAUAUUUUGUGCUGGUUUCACAUUUCCAAACUAGAAAAUGCUGAAGCUGUAUGUUCUUUUCUUUCCUUAGCACGUUCGGUGCAGAGUAAAUUAAAUUCAAGAUUGAAACUGCUGGGAUUUACUUGGAAGGGGUAAAAAAAAAAUGCAAAAUGAAUCCUCUUUUAAAAAUGCAGUUGUCAUGGAUUAUUUAGCACGCUUGAAAGCUCAUGUUAUUAAUAUACUUCCAGAAGACAAGACGCAUUAUUUUGUAACGGUUAAAGCAUGGCCAAUGUUUGCAUAAACAAUAGCGAGCGUGUAUUUGGAUCAUGUGCCAGAAGAUAGGCAGCGGUUUCUGAUAUAUGCAAUGAAAGCACUUAUUCUGUUAGAAGAGGCUUCAAGAUAUACUGAAUCAGAUCUUCAUGUCUGGUGUUUGCCUCUAGUCCUCUGAAAGAGAGAAAUAUGAGUUGCUACUUUGCAGAGGUUAUUAUUGCCCUUUAUGUAUUCAUUUUCAAGUCAUCUGUCAUAUUUGCAAGAGCCUUCUGAUCUUCAAAACUGAAUACAUCUAUUGUGUACCGUAACUGAAGUCUAACCUUAACGCCUCAGAUGUAUGUUUGUUACAUGUCAGCCUAGUGUCUGUGUGUUCACAGCUAGCCAAUCAGGCCAAUCUAUGGAAAAGCCCUCUCUUGCUGUCUUGGCCUGGGAUUGACCUCACUCUGCCAUAUUUCAAGGACUUUCCCUGGUGUGAUGGUGGCACAGAAUCACAAUCUUUGGCAACUAUGGAAAUGUUUUGCCUGUAAAACUGUAAAAAGCAUUUUUAUUUAUUUCUUGCCAGGGCCAUUUUAAUGGCACUGUGACAAACUGCCCUGAAACUAUUUUCAUAUUCACCAACCCCAAUUUGUUUUCCCUUGGUUCGGUAAUUUUAACUACGGACCACCCCCUGGCUCAUUAUCUUCAAAGAAAACAACAAUCAUAUGUGCUCUCAUUGGGUGACCGCAAUUCGUACAGUGAAUGGCGACCAUUUUGUCUACCGAAUGCAGGCAGUGGUACUUGGUCGUUGCAUACGUGCAACUGUAUGACUCAUACCUGAACUUAUCCCCAGUCAUUUUGUACUGUCGCCUGCUUCUCCCACAGACUAGCCAGAAGAGCGCUCUUCAGGGAAAAGAUGCUCCCGAACAAGGGGAACAUUCGCUCCCCACGAGCCAGAGAAACCUUUCAUGUGAAUUCAUAUAGGAGCUCCCGAAGAGUGACCAUCCGCUACCCAUUUUCUUAUGGAACUAUUUUGGGCAGCAGCCACAUGUGUGGUCGGUCAAAACUACAGGGAUCGGAGCACUAUUUGGACAACUUGGGCGCUCAGAUCCAGGCUUUACAGGGAUAUAAGACUUGUGGGGGUUCCUAUUAUUACUGUAUAUGUUUUGGGGUGUUUUAUGUUGUAUUCACUGUACCUCUAGUGCCUGGAAGAUAAUUAGUUUUAACAAAGCAAACUCGCUUAUCUCCCAGACACAGAGAUGCCGGGGCGAGCUUCCCUAUGUUUUUACCGGAGACCCCAUGCUGGGGCUCUGUGUAUAUAAGCAGGCCACUUGGCCAUAAUAAAGCAUUCCAGUUGUACCGUUCAUCUAGUCUCGACUGAUGUUUGGGUAUGCGUUAGAACAAGCGCAUACCAAAAAGAAUCUUGCAGAAUUCGUGAGAGUCCAGAUGAACGUACCACUCUGGGUACAGGAGGCUCGUUACAUGCACAUUAGUGAGAAGUUCUCUUGUUGUGAAGGUCAAUGAUGAACUUACACACUAAACAUUAUGAACUCCUAGAAAUGAGAAUCUCGGGGUAGGAAGAAGAACAGAGGGCACCUGACCGGUGUGAGCAAAGGCAGUCUGUUAAUAGAAUGAGAAUAUAGAUAAUUAUGUAGAUAUAUUUUCCCUGCUCCUUCUUGUGAAUACAUUAUGACAGGGUUUUCAAAGUGCAGAGAUGUCAUAUACAGUGUUAUUUACUUAAGUGAAAAUUGUCAGGAAUUGUGAGUGAAUUCAAAAUAAAAUUAAAAUUUAAGACCAGGGUAGCCAAACUGAAGGCAUAACUGACUUUGAGAUUUUUUUUCCAGUUUUCCAGGAGAAUGAAUAGAGCAACAUAACUCUAUGCUCCAUUUAACCCCUUAAGGACCAAACUUAUGGAAUAAAAGGGAAUCAUGACAUGUCACACAUGUCAUGUGUCCUUAAGGGGUUAAACCUGUUCAGCUUAUCGGAAAACUGUGAAACAAAUAGUCAUUUUCAUAUGUGGUGGAUAAUUUCUGAUUUAAAGUGGCUGAGAGAGAAUGUUGUCCAAAAAGGAAACAUCAUUUUGAAUUCACUCUGUAUUACUGGACAUUUAACUUCCUUUUAAAUAAGUUGAUAGCAUUUGCUAGAUCUCCACUCCCAUUCAAGUAGACCACAGGUGAAGAUAAUGUCACAAUGGGUGAAGUGGCCUUGGUUGGGACGGUUUUCUGUCCAGCCUAAUACCUAUAUUACUGAACAAAAAGACGAUCAUGAAACAUAAGCAAAUUUGGAAGAAUGAGAAUGCUUGAGAUUUUUUUAAUGUACAAUUAUUGUAUUUUAAGAUCAUAUUAUGAGUAUAUACUUUUAAAGCCCAUAUGAGCAGUUAUAGAAUUCAUGAAUUAGACUGUUGUUAAUGUAUGGAAGAAGAUGGUCAGCAAGGAUUACUUAAAGAUACAUUGAUGAGAACCAAGUUCCAUUUAUCAGAAAUUUUACAUUUUCCCCUCAAACUGUGGGCUAAACCUUUUUUUGGAAAGUUCUUAUAACUGCUACGUAGUAGAUUUGACAAAUUAAAUUUGUUUCCUGAUGGACUGCCAAGUGAUUUCUAUUGAAUGAAUAAGAAUAUGUCUAGAUUGGUUCUUGAAUCUAACACAGUAAAGGACAACUGAUGUAAAUACUCAGGGGACCAACUAUAUUAGAUGGUGACAUUCGAUAGUAAACAAGAUUAGCAAUAAAUAGCAUUGAGUCUGCAAACUAUACAGAAAAAUCUACCAUUAAAAAAAAAAUCAAUCUUCUUCUUCGCUGUCCAUCAUUCUGCUUAAUUGGGUAAUAAACUGAAAUUUCACAAGUUGUUGAAAUGUAAUUUUUAAAUUAGAUUAAAAUAAGAGAAGUAGCCAGAUUCAGUAAAUGCUGAAAAUUAAAUUGAUAGAAUUACUAAGAUAACCUAGGGCGUUUCUGCCCAUAUCAGCGUGAUUCAGCAGCUCUUCGUAAGGGCAUCCUUGGGAGUACUGUUGGGCCGGGCAGACAUUUAGCCUCAUGGAAAUGCCUUCAAGAUGGGCGUCCCCAUUAUGGCAACCAGAGCAGGAUUAGCCAUAAAGCUACCAUAGGAGGCCACCCAGUGCUUAGACAGAGGUCCUGAAAGCAUGAAUUUGCUUGGUCCCAAUAAUCAUUCCUAUGUAAAGACUGAAGAGGUGGCAUACUUGUCUUCUGGGCACUAUGGGAUCUUAAUCCUUCUGAGGUGGCACCAUCCCUUGUCUUCUGAGCAUAUAUCUCUCAAAGUUCAAAAAAUAUGACCCAAGAGUGUCAGUCCUUGGUUCUCUAUGUGUUGCUGGACUAGAUAUCUAAUUCUCUGUCAGUCAACAGACAAUAUUUUAUAUACAUGUAAUGAAGGUAUACCGGCACUCUCGUCUUCCCAAAUAAACCUUUAUUUUAUCUUUGUCAAAAAAAAAUACAUUAAUGUUUCAGUUCCAGAAUUAAACUUUCAUCAGGACAGUUAAACAGGUGAAAGAUGACGAAAGUACCAGUCCGGAAGUGAAGUGAUGUGUUUUGCUUGAUAAAGAGAGUCGUAACAUUGCUGUUUUGCCAAUAAAGGGAUAUCAUCUUUUCACUGGACAUCUUUUUUGUUUAUUCUCGUAUGUAUGUAUGCAUGUAUGUAUAUAUCUCCAUGGAUGUAAAUCUCACACCUUGUUGAGUGAAUGGCUAACCUUGGCACCCCAAAGGUUUGUUUUGAAAAAAUGUACUUCAUGUUUACAAUCUAGGCAUUUCUCAGAUAAUAAACAACCUGAUGGUGAAUUUCUUUUGGGUGGAAUGUAAAUUUUGUGACCAAAGUAUUAAAAGUCAGGCUAUUACCAUGGAAACCAGUGGAAUGAACAGGCACAUUUCACUGGUGCUUCCUGGCUUUAAACAUUUUUUUGUUUUUUUUUGUUUUUAAAUUCUAACACGUUUUAAACCAGAACACCUUAAUAAAUCUUUUAAAUAUUUUUGUCCUAAAAGCUAUUUAUGGAAAUGAGCAAAGUAACACGUUCUGGAGUAACACCACACCUUGGCCACAUGUCCCGAAAUUUAGAUGGUCAACUUUGACAAUUAUAGAUGCUCCAAACUAAAUUUCCCAUGUUGCAUUGCCAGUCUUAAGGCUGGCCUUGCAUUGUGGAAAAUGCAGUUCAGAAACAUUUGGGGUAUUAACGCAAGUCAUUACUGCCCUUAAACAGAGAUUGUCCCACAUGUCCUCCUUUGACCAUAUGAAAUGACGGAAGGUUUGCCUUUAAUUGUGUUUUUUAUUUCGCGGUGCAGUGCACAUUUAAUAUAAUAACGAUGAAACUAGAAUUCAAUAUGUUGUUCACCCCUCUUGCUCUCAGAGGAUUACAUGGCAGCUACAGAAUGCUGCGAGAUUCCUCUAAACAUCUGGAUGCCCAUGGUUGUGUAGUUGCCUGGGGCAAUCUCGCUCCGUAAAAUAACAGAAUCUGAAUCAGGCAGAUGCUGAAUGUUUGUUUGCUGCAGUGAAAACCCUAAAUAAGGUAGCAUGAUAAUGGCCUUCUGCAUUUAUACAUUACUUACAAUUAGAAUGUGGAAUCUUAAAUGCAGAUUUAAAGUAUGACAUGUGCACAACACUCUUCCUGUGUGUAGCAAGUCAGCACACUUUGAGUGCAUGAAAUCUGCUUGAUUUUUUUUAGAUUAAGAGGACCAUCUGCUUUUCCCCAUUAGUAUCGUCACUGUCUGUGAUUAACUUUGUCAUAAGUGGACAUAAAUAACAGCUGGAUUUUUAUAGGAUAAGCAAGCUUAUUCAUUGCAGUAUGAAUUUAAAAUUCAAAGCCAAAAUAGGCAAACAGGAAAGAUUCUCCAUGUUGGCUGCUUGGAUGUGCAAUUUGAAAUUCACUUUGAGUUCCUGACAUUUAACACUUUAGUGAAUAAUUCUGAUAAGUUUUCUGCCUUCCAAAUGGUUGGCUCAGGGGUAAGCACUCUAUCUCCUCCUAUUACACAGAUAGAGACACAGAUAUGUACCCUGUCUCUCCCUAAUACACACAAUUUAGGCAAAGACAUGCAUCCUCUCUGUCCUGUACCCAUACAGACAGAAAGAUAGACUUGCACUCUGGUGAUAAACUGCAAGAGUCAAUAGAUGGUUCUUUUUUAAGUAUUAUAAAUGAAAAUAGCAGCAUCCUUACUAAGUGCAAAGUACCAAAAAGCACUCACUUAUAAAUAAAUAAAAGUUAAGAUGUGCUGUGCCUUUAAAAUUACACGCAAAUAUUUGUAAUCGCACAAAAAGUAUUGACACACAAUGUGAUAGGAAGGUGUCCAAAGCAGUACAUAUAUAAAAACAAGAGAAGGAAAUAUUAUAGUGUAGAUAUAAUUCACAAAAACGAAGGAUCGGUCACUCAGGUCAUAGAGGCUCCAUUAUAUACUAUUUGAAACAGAAGACUAUAGUGUCAGGAAUACAAACCUUUAUUCCUGACUCUCUAGUGCUGGUAUGGCAGUUUAGGCCACGUCACCCUUCUCUGUGUAGUGAAAAGGUGCUUAAACUCUCCUUUUUUCCCACGCCACACUGGUCUUGCCAUGGCUGACUUUGUGGCUAAGAUUAUCAAACUUGAUCUCAGCCAAUCCAAUGCAUUUCUAUAGGAAAGCAUUGGAAGGCUAUUGUGCAAUCCACAUCAAUCAGCAUCUCUUCAUAGAGAUGCAUUGAAUCAAUGUGUAGAUGCUGAAUGCCAGUGCUGCACACUGUGCAGCACUGGACUAGGAAGCACCUCUAGCGGCCAUCUGAGUGACUGCCACAAGAGGUGUUACUAGCCAUCAAUGUAAACACUGCCUUUUCUCUGACAUGCUAUGCUAUUAACACCAGAAUCACUACAUUAAACUGUAGUGGUUAUGGUGACUUUAGUGACCUUUUAAAUAAAAUAAAAUAAAUAAAAAAUUAAAAAAUUAAUUGUCCGUGGGUAUUUAGGUAUAAAUCUUGUAUUUAGAGAUACACCUGGUGUCUAGAGUGUCCCUUUAACUUAAAAUAAAACCAAUAAAAUAUUUCAUUUAAAAACGAAUACAGAAAUCUGUAUUUUCGUUCUUCAACAAUAAGUGUAGCAUUAUUAGCAGGCUAUAAGUGUUGCAUUGAGAAGAGGACUACAACCCUGUGUUUGUGAUUUUCCUGAAAACCUUUAAAGGGACACAAUAGUCACCAGAACAAUUACAGCUUAUUGCAUUUGUUCUGGUGAGUAGAAUCAUUACCUUCAGGCUUUUUGCUGUAAACACUGUCUUUUUCAGAGAAAAUGCAGUGUUUACAUUACAGCCUAGUGAUAACUUCACUGGCCACUCCUUAGAUGGCUGUUAGAGAUCCUUCCUGGGUCAUGGCUGCCUAAAAUGCAUCCAAACAUUCAGUAUCUCCUCCCUCUGCAGGCAGACACUGAACUUUCCUCAUAGAGAUUCAUUGAUUUAAUUCAUCUCUAUGAGGAGAUGCUGAUUGGCCAGGGCUGUGUUUUAAUCUUGCUGGCUCUGCCCCGAUCUGCCUCCUUGUCAGUCUAAGCCAAUCCUAUGGGGAAGCACUAUGAUUGGACCAGGCUACCACUUCUGAUGAUGUCAGCAGACUGCUUGUUUUUCUGUUAUAGCUUCAGGCUUCAAUACUGUAAAAUUUUGCUAUAUUUAUGGAGGCAUGAGUGGCCCAGGGGGGCUAGAUGGUGGUUUUAACACUAUAGGGUCAGGAAUGCAUGUUUGUGUUUAUGACCCUAUAGUGAUCCUUUAAUAAAACCUUCCUGUCAUUGUAUAUUAUAUUGUUGUAGAGUCCAUUAAGAAUUGCGUGGCUUUUAAGCUUUGUAACUCCAGGAAAGUUCUGUAGCUAAAGUUAAGUGCCUAGCAUAGCUGCACACUUUUUAUUGUCUAAGCGGAAUUUAAGACCACUUUAUGCAACUGAACACAUAAAACGGCUGACAUUUCAGAAGAUUGCUUUGAUAAUCCAGGAUAUUUGAAUCUGCUUAAAGUAAAUGUGAAAACAAUUUAAGUGUUGGGAUGCGGUGGUCAAGAAGAAAGUAUCCUUGGGCAUUCAGAUCUCAAAGUUCAUUCUUGUGGCCAGAAAAAUGUGCCAGUAAAAUUACUGGUAAACACAUUUCCCGGUAGCCAAUAUUGUUUGAUUACUUUGCAGUCAGAGCAGAAACCAUUGAUGGGCUGUUACAUGCAGUUCUGCUAUAAAAGCAUCUGGUAUGUUAAAUAUUUAACUGCUGUAUCCUGUCCUGAGUUCAUAAUAGAAUACUCAACUAUAGAAUAUUAAAGGAUUGUCAAUAUUCUUCUUGGUAUCCAACCCCCACCUCUAGAUCUUAUUAAUAAAUACAAUUUAUGGACCCCAUAUUACCAGUUUAAGCUAUGCCAGUGGUGUCUUCGGUUCCAUCAUCCAAUAUGUUGGAUAAAAUGUGCAUUGAAAUAAUUGCAAAGGGGUUUAAAGGAUGUACCCCUUUACAAUGGCAGAUGCACGCUGCUGAAAUGUUGAGGGUUUUUUGUCCUGCGUUCAUGAAAGCUGCCUGAUGGAUAAAUAAAUAUCCCUUACGUGAUCAGUGGUUCUCCAAGAGACCUGCCCUGAACACGAUACCUUACGAUUGUGAGAUAUGUAAUUGUGACAAGACUGGGCAGGCCAUAGCGGCAGUGGUAAAUGAUGAUCGGCGCUUUCUAAACCUGGACACUAUAUAGUGGCCUGGGACGGCUUGACAAAGUCAAGAGUAGAUGAAUUUCAGGCCGUUGGAAAGCGUGCAAUUCUGUGUUAAUAUUGGAAUCGGUGUGAUAGUCCAUGGUAUCUUUUAUGUACAGUAAUCAACUGGCCACACAAAUAUUUUAAGUGUUUUUUCUUUUCUCUACUUCAUAGUCAAAUAUUGUGACAAUGUUUGCCUACCACCAGGCAUUGGAUCUUUGUGGGAAUAGAUUUAUGUAUAAAAGCUUCAUUAUAUCUGCAUUAGUCUGGGGUGAAAAAAAAUGGCUUCCUAGCUCAUUCAAACCAUUGAUGGGCUGUUACAUGCAGUUCUGCUAUAAAAGCAUCUGGUAUGUUAAAUAUUUAACUGCUGUAUCCUGUCCUGAGUUCAUAAUAGAAUACUCAACUAUAGAAUAUUAAAGGAUUGUCAAUAUUCUUCUUGGUAUCCAACCCCCACCUCUAGAUCUUAUUAAUAAAUACAAUUUAUGGACCCCAUAUUACCAGUUUAAGCUAUGCCAGUGGUGUCUUCGGUUCCAUCAUCCAAUAUGUUGGAUAAAAUGUGCAUUGAAAUAAUUGCAAAGGGGUUUAAAGGAUGUACCCCUUUACAAUGGCAGAUGCACGCUGCUGAAAUGUUGAGGGUUUUUUGUCCUGCGUUCAUGAAAGCUGCCUGAUGGAUAAAUAAAUAUCCCUUACGUGAUCAGUGGUUCUCCAAGAGACCUGCCCUGAACACGAUACCUUACGAUUGUGAGAUAUGUAAUUGUGACAAGACUGGGCAGGCCAUAGCGGCAGUGGUAAAUGAUGAUCGGCGCUUUCUAAACCUGGACACUAUAUAGUGGCCUGGGACGGCUUGACAAAGUCAAGAGUAGAUGAAUUUCAGGCCGUUGGAAAGCGUGCAAUUCUGUGUUAAUAUUGGAAUCGGUGUGAUAGUCCAUGGUAUCUUUUAUGUACAGUAAUCAACUGGCCACACAAAUAUUUUAAGUGUUUUUUCUUUUCUCUACUUCAUAGUCAAAUAUUGUGACAAUGUUUGCCUACCACCAGGCAUUGGAUCUUUGUGGGAAUAGAUUUAUGUAUAAAAGCUUCAUUAUAUCUGCAUUAGUCUGGGGUGAAAAAAAAUGGCUUCCUAGCUCAUUCAAUCACUCCUAGAACUGAUAUUCUUCAUCCCUGGUUAAAAAGAAUCUUUAUGGUUAUUUUGCCCCUUUGGGAUAUCCAUAAGCCGCAUUCUUGAACUUACUACAUAACAUACAUUCUCUCUCAGCCACACUAUCGUCGUCUUAACUUCAGUACUACAUAAAAUUAAUUUAAACCAGUUUACUUCCAGCAUGUGGUGUUACAUUGUACCAUUCAUUUUCUUCGGAAUCCUGACUAGCCUUCUAGCACUUGACUGAACUAAAUAAUCAUCAUGUUAUGAUACAGUCACCUCAGUCCUUGUGAGCACCAGUGCCGUUAAUCGACUGUUCUACUGCCACAUACCAGACUUUAACUCUUUGAACUCAUGUUGAGCAGAAUACGGGCACUUAAACGGUUAAAUCAGAAAAGUUUAAAGACAACCGGCAGGAAUUUUCAGAGUGUUUGGUAGCCCAGCACUGUGUGGGUUUGUGAUUGGGUUGGUGUUCUGCGUAUUCAGUGGCCUUGUCUGGCUCCAUGGGAUAUUUCCCAGGAACUGUUUUUUUUUUUUUUUAAAUACAUUAAAAAAAAAAAGCUUUUGGUUUUUGCCUACUUGCCAAAAUGUGGCAACCCAUCUAUUCUGCCCUGCGUCUUUACACAGGAUACAUUAUAAAGGCCAUAAUAAUACGAUCGGGACAUCAGCAUAGAUUUAAAUGUCAACAUUAUUUACUGUGAUUUCUUCCAGGAAAUAAAAAAAACUAUCUCUCCAGUGCUUUUAAUGGCAUCUACUUCCUACACUAGACCUAAUCUGCAGACAGAGCAUUAAGCAGAUCGAUUAAUUUAUUCUGACAUCAGUGGUUGCAAAAACAUAAAAUAAACACAAACAUUUUCAGCUUUCUCUGUUGCUCAGACGACGAACACUCAGCCCAUCACUGCACUAUCUUUGGCCACCUGACUUCAGACGAGAAUUAAUCUGACAUGAUAAAAUUAUUGAACUGGAAACAAUCUGGCAUUGGGUAUGGAUUUGGGGAUUUAAGCGAAAACAAGUCAUACACGUUCAAACAAACAGGGAUAUUUAUCAGUGUUGAGGAUGUUAUUUGUGUGUUUGGCAAUAUUGUUUUUUUUUUUUUUUUGCUCAAUUGCUUAAAUCUGUUUUUUUCAUCUAUAAUUUUUUUUUUUUUUAAUGUACACCAAUUUUUUUUUUCCAGCAAUACAACGGAUGUAUCCUUUUUUUCCCAUCACUUUUACCACCAGAAAAUGUUCUUAUUCACUUUAUUUUAUUUUUCUUCUCAACUUAGAAAAAAGGAGACCCUUUUUUAACCAAUCUAAAGAACAAUAUAAUAAAUACAAAUAAAUUAGUUGACUUAAAAAAAAAAAAAAACAUAUUUCAGCACUUUGAUAAAUCUCGCCGAUAUUUCUAAUGUUAAAUUUAUUUAGAACCGUGUUUGCAUGGUUGAUAUGCUAUACUUAUAAAUUUCCCUUUCGACUGUUUGGACAAAAAAAAAUUAAAUUCCCUUUUAAUUCUAUUUGCAAUUCCUGAGAUUUCACACUUUAUGGAAUAACCCUGAUUGCAGAAUGUAUUCCAUAAACACAAGAGUGCAUUAUUGUAUUAGGUUAAUAUGGUCUUAGACAAAAGUGAUGCCUCUCUAAUUGUGAAGUAUUAUCUGUAGGCAGAUGGCAAGAAAUAAGACACAACCUGGUAUACAGUCUGUUUAGGCUCAAGGAUGAAGCCAUUAAGUUAUCAAAUUUCUAUUUGAGGGGUUUUGGUCAAUAGGUUACUAAAUGUACAUUAUUCCUGACCACAUGGGGUCCUCGGCUUAAGUAUCUAAAAUUAGUGUUUAGUAUUUCAGUAGCAAUUUAUAUUUCACGUUUGUCUUUUGUGUGCGUUUCCUCUAUAGUGGAUAUUUUGUCUGUUUAGUCUCAUUUGAAAUUGAUGCAUCUUGCCAUAAGUAGGUUGCUUUUAAAUGUGAAAUGGCUCAAGGCUAUGUUUUACUGCUGUCCUGCCUAUUGACUUCGAGAUGGCUUUGGCCUAUUUUAGUAGGCUAUCUGCCAGUGAGGCAUUUUAAUUUUUCCAUCUCACAAAAGAGACUGUUCAUAGCCGCGUGUAACUAGUGCAACAUGCUGAGGUACCUAGUAUUUAUAACAAAAAAAGACUUUUAUCUGACAAUUCCUGGCUCACAAACCUUUCCAUAUAACCUCCCUUAAGGCUGCACCAUGGGAUUUAUCAGCAGGCAUAAGUCUUUCCAAUCUUGUUUAUUAACCCUUGUUCUGAAACAGGUGUAUGUAAUGUGGCUGAAUGUCUACCUAUUAGACAUUUUUUUUUUUUUUUUUUUAAUAAAAAAAAUUCCUGUUUGAUUAGACACCUAAUAACUCCUCUAAUUCAGGCUUCCCCAAACUUCGGCCCUUCAGAUGUUGCUGAACUACAACUCCCAUGAUUCUCAGCCUAUCUAUUUCAUUCAUAGAAUCAUGGGAGUUGUAGUUCAGCAACAUCUGGAGGGCCGGAGUUUGGGGAAGCCUGAAUUAGAGGAGUUAUUAGGUGUCUAAUCAAACAGGAAUUUUUUUAUUUUUUAGAGUUUUGGUGUGUUUUUUUUCCCUUGUCUAUAUAUCUAUUUCCAGACUUUAUAAUGUAUGGAGUUUUUAUAUUACUGGUGUUAUUUUAUAUUCUAGAAGUAUCAGAAUGAAGAGUGAACGUUUGUUUGUCUGAAACAUUUUGGCCAAUGGGUUAAAGAUUGUUAUAUUUUUUUUUUUUAAACCCAGGUUAUUAAAUUAUCAGUAGAUUGAGUUAGCACACUUGAAAAAGAUGGAUGACUAUAUGGACUUUUCUAUAGUUGGGGGCGAAUAUACUUUAUUAAAGGAAGAAGCUAUUGAGAUGCUGAACAAAAAAAAUGCAGAGUGCAGCUGCUGAUUUUAAUUAAAAAAAUACUCCGAUCUGUCCUGUGAAGAGAAAGUUAAAAGUUGGAACAGCGAAAAGUUAGGAUUUCAUAUGAUCAACAAGCUGAUUUUAUCCUGGCCACACUAGUAGGAAAAUAAAGUUAUUAUUGAUUCAAGAUAAAAAAUUUAUUUUAAGUUGAAUUGUUGGUCGCAAGUCCUAGUUCCCAUUCCAAGCAUAAAAUCCAGAAUCUUGGCCCUCUGAAGAUUUUAACUUAUGGGGUAGAGAAAUGAUCGCAGCAUGUUCUGAAUGCAAUAUAGUAUAAAUAAACAUGAAUGUAACCCGUCCUUAAAGCUAUAUGUCAACUCCAACAGACAUUUGGCAGUCACUCCUAGAGCAAUGAUCCAGUUACACCAUCAGAUCACUGUCUGGUCCUGAUUCUCCCAGACCCAGAAGUUGUGGGUUUUUUUUAGACGUCUCGUUCAAGCACCAUCCAGUCCUUCAACCUCUGAUGUAACAAUCAAACAAAGAAGAAGGGACAGGAGGCAGAAAAACAAGAGCUCUGUGCCUAAGCUUAGCCAAUGAUAAUAUAGUGUCAGGGUAUUGCUAAGCAAUCAAAUCCUUAUAUUGUUAUAAGAACAUACGAAGACACAAAACCAUUGAUUUUAUGUAUAAAAUGUUGAAAUGAUACUGCUUGUGAUGUGGUCCACAGUGCCGAUUUAUAAAGACACAUUUAAAAAGGGUCAUUCCCCAUAUUUUCUGCAAAAAACAAAAAUAUGCAAAUGAAAUAAAAAUUAAAUGAAUUGCCAUUUUUAAAGUUCCCAGAGUUUUUGCCGUUAAACAAGGACCAGAUCUGGCCCUUGGAAGGGAGAAGCAAAACGUCCUCAUUAUAAGAUUGCUGUUUCACGGGGCAGGUAUUUAGAAGUGUAAUUAUUUAAAAUCUCUACAGAUGUACGCUAUCAUGAGUGAAAUAUAGGAAUCUCGGUACUCUUGGCAUCUGGACCUUUGCCAUCAUACAAAAUUGUUCUGGUUCUUAGAGUGAGAUCAAUGGAAUGUCAAUUACAUUAUUGAAUAAGAAAUAGAAAGCCACCUGUAACCUAGGUUAACCUUUUUAUUAUGUGAUACUCUCUGGUAUUCUUGGCCCUAUAGUGCAAAACCCACCAUUAAGGUGGCUUGUCCCCCUUUAAGCAUAAAAAACUCACCUUCUUGCCAGCGCCAUGCGGGUCUGCCGGCAUUGGCCCCGUCCCCUUGGUGACAUCAUCAGAAUUGCUGCUUUUUAGCCAAUGCAAUGCUUUCCCACGGGAAAAGCAUUGGAUUGGCUAAAAUUGGCAAGGGGGUGGGGCCCAACACCGUUUUGGCUAAUCAACACCUUCUCAUAGAGAUGCAUUGCAUCAAUGCAUCUCUAUGAGGAAAAUUCAGGGGCUGCUGAACGUCAGAGCUGCCUACUAUGCAGCACUGAGCCAGAAAGCAGGAGUGGCCACUUGGAGGUGUCCCUAGGGGCAAUGUAAACACUGCUUUUUCUCUGAAAGGGCAGUGUUUGCAUGAAAAUGCCUAAAGGCAAUAAUUCUACUCACCAGAACAACUACAUUAAGCUGUAGUUGUUUUGGUGACUAUAGUGUCCCUUUAAAUAUUUAAAUAGUUCACUCCAGGUCAAUCAGGGCACAUAAAAUAAAUAAGGAGGAGGAACAUUGUGUCUCUGUAUACUUUCUCUAUGUUGACUGCCAGGUGCAAAGGACAGAGCUUAUAAUUAUGAUUAAAAGGGAGCCAAGAUGGAGGCGCCCGAUUGCAGGAUAAAGAGGUUUAGAUUUCUAGAUUUAAAGGAAAACUUUAGGGUCAGGGACAGAAACAUGUUUUCCUAACCAUAUAGAGUUAAAACCACCAUCCAGACCCUACUUGCCCCCCUAAGUAUAGCAAAACCUUACCUUAUUUCCAGACUACUGCUGCUAGCUCUGCUCCUGGUCUGCUUGCUUGGCUGACAUAAUCAGAAACAGAGGUCUGAGCCAAUCAUAAUGCUUUCCCAUAUGAAAGCAUAGGACUGGCUGAGACUGUCAAGGAGGCAGGUCAGGGGCAGAGCCAGCACAAGUCAAACACAGCUCUGGCCAAUCCACAUCUCCUCAUGGAUCAAUGCAUCUCUAUGAGGAAAGUUCAGUGUCAGUCACAUUGUGCAGCACUGCCCCAGGAAGCACCUCUAGCAGCCAUCUAAGGAGUUGACUGUGGAGGUAUCCGUAGGCUGUAAUGUAAACACUGAAUUUUCUCUGAAAAGACAGCGUUUACAGCAAAAAGCCUGAAGGGAAUGAUUCUACUCACCAGAACAAAUUUAAUAAGCUUUGGUUGCUCUGGUGACUAUAGUGUCCCUUUAAUUUUACAUUUGACACCUCACAAAUACAUAUCUGUUAUAUAUGUAACCAUAGUGUUAAAAGUCCAGGGAAAUGACAGUUCCUGUUUAAUGUAUCAAGUGUUUAAAGGAAAUAGUUGAGUGAUUCUAAAGUAACUGCAUUAGAUUGGUCUGUUUCUAUGUUUUUCUUCCACUUUAUUUGUGUGUGUGUGUGUGUAUGUAUAUAUAUUUUAAAUAUGGUAUUCUCAAAUGGAUAAAAACACAUCCGUAAUAAAAAGUUAAAAAAAAAUCUGUGAUACCCGUUGAGAAUGUCCGAAACGAAGUGUAAAAGUUUAAGUGUUAUAAUGGAAUCCUCACUCCAGGAAAAUGAUAUCCUCACAGUAUUGUCUGAGUCUCUUCUUAUUCCAUUUAUGUCUGCGCUGUAAGCUCUUCCAGCUGUCAAAACCUUAUUUGGCAACUGGGAGUCGUGUGACUGGGGUAUAGAAUUAAAUUAAAAAGUAAAGGAAAAUCUUUCAGUACAUUGUUUUCUGGAAGCACUGCUUGUAUUCACACCAGCGGACGGUACAUGUGGGAUAUUAUUCAGCAUCAAAGUAUUCUAAAAUCGAACACAAUACAAAUGGCUUCACACUCCCUUUCCCGUCCCCCUGACCCCCAAAUAAUGACUCUAUUAUUACUGCCAUUUGCUGUAACUAAGACAUUCUUGGUAUCUAGAAUUUAGUUAAAUGCACCUCUUUUUAUUAGUUGUCUCUGCUACGCAGAUUGCAAGUCUUAAAUUUUUCAUUGUGCUGCCCUUGUUUUAUAGGUGUUUUUUGGUAUUUUAUUUUUUUUAGUCGUUAAUGACACUGUGUAACUGCAUUGACAUUAAGAAGAGGUUGAGAUAUUUUAUUUUGUUUUCCCCCUCAGAAUAAUAGCUUCGCAAAUUCCUUCCCUUCCAAAAUGGUACUUGGGUAACCAAGUGGGCUAAACAAAAAACGUCAGAAAAGACCUACAGCAUAGCACAAUGCAUGGCCUUUGCUUCGCUUUUGUGUGUUUUUGUCAUGAAAUGGAUCCAAAUCUUCAUAACAUUGUGAUUGCUCCAAAAGCUACACACAGAAUGAUGAAGACAAACUGUGUGAAACGGUUAUUCCGCACAUUCAAGUUCAUUCUUUUGGUUGCCUGGCACUAUAGGGUGCUACAGUGCCCCCCUCACUUGCGCCCCCUCCUGCAUCGCUAAAGGGAUUGAAACCCCGUCAGUCACUAAUCUGAAUCCAGCGCUGAUGUCCCACAGCGCUGGGUCAGGCUCCAUCCACCUAAUGCACAUGCACUGCAAUGGCAGCGCUAGCAUUAUGAUUUCCCCAUAAGGAAUGAAUGCUUUCCUAGGGGGAUUCCGGUGAGCAACCAAAAGUCGUCUAAACACCCGGAAGUCCCUCUAGUGGCUGUCUGGUAGACCGCUACUAGAGUAGGAGUUAACCCUAGCAGGUAAUUGCAGUUUCUCAGAAACUACAAUAAUUACCACUGUGGGUUAAAGGAUUUGGAACACUGCACCCAGACCUCUUCAAUGAUCUGAAGUGGUCUGGGUGCCUACAUUGUCCCUUUAAGUCCACUACUAGAUCGCAGGUCCACAAUUUCGAUAGGUUCUAUGAUAAUUUAAUACGGGACACAAACAUGCUAGCUGCAAUAAUUAUUGCUUAAACUGCUUCCAGAGACUUAUUUCAAAUAUGUGCUACUGCUUUCCUUUGGUCAUGUCCAAACUGGCACCUAAAAAAAUAAGAAACCGUGCACACACAAUAAAAUACAAUAAAUCAGUUUUGUAUAUACAGCCAAACGUCUGCAUGUUCUGGGUGUGCACCCCAAUUCCCUUUUUACCUAGACGCUCAUAAAUCAUAUACUUCUGUGGCAGACCGAUUGCAAGAUUUCAGAAUGUAGCAUCCGGUGUUAUGAAUGUUCAUUUUGCUGCACUUUGUAAUAAACAGUUGGGAUAAUAUUUACCAGCUGAAGACCUGCUGGUUGUCUCCACAUACCCGAAGAACACUGCAUAGAUUGGGGUUAAGACGAAAGAUAAAAAAGGACAGAAUAAGAUAAGAUUAUUUUGCUGAUCCCACCAUUCUUCCCAAUUUAAUAUGUUUGUCAUAAUACAGACUAUUGAUGGGAACUGCCAUGGGCUGUGUUUGUCAGAUGUGUUUCCAAUUCAGCUUUCUUUACACAGUCUACAAUAAGGCAUUUCAACAUUUACUGGUAUGAUUUCCACAAACACACCACAGAAAGUUUUAUAUAAAAAUCGACUGAAAGGCUGAGAAUUACAAACUUGGAACAUGGUGAGGUUGACUUUAAGACCAGUGUAAAAAGAGUUUUAUACUUUAAGCAUCUUAAACGGAAUAAAAUAUUUACACCACAAAACAUUGACAUUCAUUUAACUGCACUAGUAUAUUCACCAGCUGCACCAACCACCAUAUCUUAAAUAUUUGGUAAUUUUUUUAAUUUAAUUUAGUUUUUUUAAACUUUCCUGAAUAAAUCAGUCAAACCAUCUGUUCACCCUUUCAUUAUGGAAAUAGCACACUCAACACAUUUUAUUCAAGAUGAGCUAAGUCUUUCCUAGAAUUGAAAUGUGUGUAUUGGCAUGUGUUCCUUUUACGUACCUGGAUGGUAACCGAUGAUUUGAAUUGCUCAGUAAAAAUGUAAACAGGACCAUAAUUUGGACUCCUUGUGUAUCUCUUUUCCCAUCGAGAUGCAGUUGCUGGUUUUAAAUUCAGGCAUUGUUCUUUACGAUUUAGGAUUCCAGACCUGAGCUCCCUGAGACGUUUUUUUGCAAAUAUAAGUAUUUACCAUAGAUACUGAUGAUGUGAUGAGUCGGGAAAGGGUUAAAAAAAAAAAGUAAUUUAUUUAUGCAGCAAAAUCAUACUAAAAAUGAACUUAAGGGGACACUGUAGGCACCCAGACUACUUCAGCUAAGUUCUAAUGCGCACGCGGCCAUUUCUGCACAUGCGCAUUGGAUUUCCCCCGGCGGCACUAUAGGAUCCCUUUAAAAUGAGUUAUACCUACUGCUUUCAAUCCACAGCUGCAUUUACAAUGACUGUAUGGGUCAAGGAAACCUGAAUUCUUUUAUCCUUAAUUUAUCACAUUUCCCGAUCACUAGCUUUUUACAUAACUAGUUUGGCAAAGUUUCCAGUUUGUAAUUAACUGCACCUGUAACUGUGCUUAUCUUAGUGUUCGUUAAAAUCCAGCUUGUUGCAUUUCUUCAUUAGUUCACCUAUCGCACAGCAGUACGGGAUAUGUUGGCACGUUAUAAACCACUAUAAAUACUAUUAAUAAUUAUAAUAGCUCGAGAGAAAACCUUAGGAUUUAGCAGAUCCUGACAUUUAUCCCCUUAAGGACAGAGGCAAUAGCCCAAGUUCUGAACCAAAACAAAACCUAGAAUUUGAGCUAUAAUUUACAUCUUUCAUAUGAAGUACACCCACACUUGUUAUAGAUCAUUUUGUUCCAGCUUUUAUUUCAAAUCAAAUAUUUAUAUUUAAUCUAUAUAACCAAGAGGACUGCAUUCACCUGAACAUGAAUACAUUAUAAGGGUGGUGCUGGGCCCAAUUCACACAACACCCAGCACACUAAGUCAUUCACCAAAUAGCAAUUUCAAAGCUCACAAAAUUAUUUUUUUUAUUUUUUUUUUGGUUUUCUUGUUUAAACACCUAACCGAUGCAAAAAUAAUGGGGGUUUAGUUACAGUAAAUGAUCUUAUAUUGAAUGAGUGAGGCUGUCCCCCCAGAUCCAGCGAGGUAAGUGUAAUUCGUGGGGCACUUCACCGACAUCAGGACGUGUUAUUACACCCUAACCUCAUUAAAGCCCAUGUUAGGGUUGUAUUUGUGUCAUAGAUAUUCAUGAAACCUAUCCAAAUGCUGGAACAGUGCCAGCAAACCUUGGCUGAACCUGGAAUAAUACUUGCCAUUAUUUCCUAUUUUAUGGUUAAUAAUUGUCAUGAUGAGGCUGCUCUAUAUGAUUUUUUUUUUUUUUUAUAUCCUCUAUCUAACAAAUACAUUUUAACUGCACAUGAUGCCAAGGGGAUGUGUUUCUCUUGUAGCAUUUUAUACACCUAUACAUGAAUAAUAUAUAUAUAUAUAUAUAUAUAUAUAUAUAUAUAUUAAUUAUAGUGUGUGUUUAUAUGAAUGCUUUUCUCCAGUAGCCCACUUGUAAGCAGCCUGUCCCAGUUUCCUAGCACUUGAAGACCUUGUCAUCCCAGGCAGUGUGCUCUUGGUUCUUGUUACUCCCAUGUAUCUGAGGUAGGCGAUCAUAUAUUUUGUUAGGUGUCUAGGGACACGUACUUGUGGCAUGGACUGACCAGGAUUCACACCUGGUGACCUUUCCAGUUCCAAGUCCAAUAGUUCUACUCAGGGCUGUGUGGAGUCAACAGAUUCCUGAUUCUACGGUCCAGAAAAGUGCAGUUCUAGGAACAGCUAAAAUACUUGAGCAGAACCCUUAGAUUCCCAGCCCUCUGGAAAAAAAAUGAGGGAUACUUAAAGGGAUCCUAUAGUGCCUGCACCAUUUUCCUGGCAAUAUAGGUUUAAAAGGUGCCCCCCUCUCUUGCAGCCCCAAUUCUGGAAACCCUCUAGUGGCUGUCUGGUAGACCUCUAAUGAGGGUUGACUUAGUCCUGUAAUCUAAACAUUCCAGUUUCUCUCUGGAACUGCAGUGUUUUACAUUACAGCAUUAAGUGCAAUAGGGACACAGCACCCAGACAACUUCAGUGAGCUGAAGUGUCCCUUUAAUAGCACACCCGUGUGUUACAAGUUGCAAUAUUGACAAUACAGAGAGAGGAAUAAUCCAGUUAGUUUAGGUAACAGACAAACAAUAUCAAAGUGGGUCACUUCCCACAAUUUUCAAUAUUAUGUUAACGUAUCCCCUAAGUUUAACACAUAUAGUUGUGUGGCGUAGCAAAUACAAUUAAAUGCAAAAAUCCACAUUGCUGCUCUGUUCUAGUGUUUACAUCUUGGCUUUCUUCUGGUCAGUUUUUUAUCAAUUGUGCACCUGGCAGUCAGAACAGACAGGGAAACGAUUCUCCAAUGCUGAGAGUGUCCUUGCAGUGCCAAGACUGAAAUGGAUUUUGAUGUCAUUUUCUAAAUCUCUUUUAUAUAAUUUUAUAUAAGAAUAUGAAGCAUUACAUAAAUGUCAGGAAGCCUACCUCUGGUGGGACUAGACUUCCUGGUUCCAACAUUCUAUUGCUUUGCACUGCUUGCUGGAACACUAUGGAACCUGAUAUCCUCAUGCGAUUCCAGACCAUUGUCAGGUUUUUGACCCACCUGAUUUUUCUGAUUGCUAGUUUUUGUAGCGUAGUAAUCGGGUGCUUCCUUUCUGCCUUGAUUGCUACCAGCAAGCAGGAGCCAGUCAGGUACAGGGCCUCUCUAUUUAAGCCCUGGGCCCUUUCAUGUCUCCUUUAUCCUUAGUGAUAUUUUGCUCUGAUCCUGUUUCGUUUAUCUUUUUCCUUGGAUUACCCAACUAUGUUCUGCUCUCCUGUCCUGCUUCCCUUCUGCCUGUUUUUGUGUACCAGUUCCUGGCCUGUCUGACUUCCCGUCCUGUGUUCCAGUCCCUGGCUUGUUCCUGACAUUGUAUAUCUCUGUGCUCCUGACCCCUGUCUGUGUCUGGUGUUGUGUGUUUAUUUUUUUCCCCCUCUCCUGGCCUGUAGUCUUUUCAUUUAUUUUAAUUUUGUUACUUCCUAGUUCCUGUUUUAUGUUAACCUGGGCAGCCAAAGGUCCCGUAAUAAACCUCUUCCUAUCCCUCUGUCUUUGCUUUUGUCAGGUCGCUGCCUCUCACCUUGCUGAGGAUCCUCUAGCCAACCCUGACUAUAAAGAACACUUAACACAAGUAUUUUAUUCAAUGGUAUAAUUUCCUGAAAAGCUUUGGUUCCCCUUUUAAACAAUUAAGUGUCCUUGGUAAGCAGGUAAAUGACUUAUUUGGACUUCAGUUUCAAAGCAUAAAUUUAGAAUAAAUAAAAGAACUACCAUAGAAGUGUUAAUGUGAAAAUGUGAAUGUAUUGACAGAUUGGGUGGCAUUGUUCUAUGAUCAGAACCUACAAAUUCUCAUUUUUCAUAAUUACUUCUCUUUAAAGGGACUAUCCAGUGCCAGGAAAAAAAAAUACGUUCUCCUGGCACUGCAGUGCCCCCUCCCUCCCACCCUCAUUCCAUGUCGCUGAAGGGGUUAAAACCCCUUCGGUGACUUACCUGAACCCAGCGCCGAUGUCCCUCGGUGCAGGGCCAGGCUCUGCCCACGCUCCUCCCCUGCCGACGUCAGCCGGCGAGGGAGACCUAAUGCGCAUGCAUAGCGUGACGACAUCCAGCGUCGUUUAAAACACUUUUUGUGUUUUAAGAACACGGAAGUCCCUCUAGUGGCGUCUGAUAGACCGACCCUAGAGGGGGACUUAACCCUGCAAGAUAAUUAUUGAUGGGAGUUUGCACCCAGACCACUCCAAUGGACAGAAGUGGUCUGGGUGCAUGGAGUGUCCCUUUAAGCGAACUCCUGACUACACUGGCCACCUUUUCAGUAAAGCUGUGCUUUCUGUGAACUAUGACUCAUUCACCCUUCAGCAUUAGCUGAGCUUCACCCCUGAACCAGUUUUUAUUAUUAUGAUUGGUAUAUUAAAGAAGUAUUGGUUUAUAUAAUUGGAGGAACUUUUGUUGCCUGAGAUUUCUAGUUACUUUUACGAAGCCCCUUAAUGUUAACUCGUUCGACAAAUCCAUAAUGCUAAUCCGGAUAGCUUACAGGUUAUGAUUAUUGAUGGAAUUGUGAACUGGGCUCUAGGGCAAAUAGAAUACAAAGAUUAUUACAAUUGGAAACCAAGUGGAUCUUUAAAGGGAUUCUAUAAUAUUAGCAAUACAAAGUUGUAUUCCUAACUGUGCCCUCUGCCCCUCAGCCCCAGCACAGAAAGCGUUAAAACCCCUUUGUUUAUUCACCUGACUCCAGCGCCAAUGUCUCUCAGUGCUCGGGUUGGAGCUCCGCCUCCUCCGACAUCAUCCAAUGGGGGGGGACCUAAUGCUCAUGCGUGGCGAGAGCAUUGGGAUUGAUUCAGUGCUUUCCUAUGGGGUUUUCACUGACACUGGAUGUGCUCAUGCAGAGUUAGGAUGUCCAGCAUCAUUUAAGUGAUUCAGACUCCGGUAAACUCCAGGAAGCUCCCCUAGUGGCUCUGGUAUACUGCCACUAUAGGCUAUCUUAGUACUGCCAUGUAAAUAUUGCCGUUUUUUUAAAAACUGCAGAGCUUUACAUUGCUGGACUAAGUGGGACAGGGACAGUGCACUCAGAUCACUUAAUUGAGCUGAAGUUAGAAACAUUAAGUCAAAAAGGUGAUUUUACUCACGUUUUUCCAGUGCCGUGCGGGUCCCCCAAUCCAAUGCUUUCUCUGUUGCGCCGGUGAGAAUCUCCUCAUAGAGAUGCAUUGACCCAAUGCCUCUUUGUGGGGAAAGUUCAGCUCCUCCAUGCAGAGUGUGCAGUAAGCUGUAGUUGUUCUGGUGUAAAUUGUGCCCCUUUGAACUUGUUUUUUCUUUUAAACAUUUUUUUUAUGCUGAAAUUUAUAUAUCUCGAGUUUUAUUGUAUUUUGUUUUUCAUAUACAUAUUUUUGCGCUACCUGUCAACUUUAUGAUAGAUUGAAGUCACCCCUGAACUUUACCUUAUUCUGUUUUGAAAUGUGGCCAUUGUCUUUCAGCAACAUAUAUUUUCUAAAUCUGAUAAGGACAGAAGAAUACAAUGUUUUGUUUAGUAUUUAUAGAUUAUUCCAUUCCAUGUAGUAGGGCAGUUAUUUCAAGCCAUCAGAAUUUCAGUAAGAAAUUAACUUGGGCUAAGGUAUAAAUAGAUUUAAAUUUAAAAAGUUUUGACCACCGUUGUAGUAUAAGGGAUUGUAAACAUAGCGCUAACACACCAGUUAAUAGCAGAAGGUGGCAUUAUGAUCUAUAAUUAUUAUCCUAGAUGUUUUGGGCAAUCACCCCUCCUACGUUGAAUUGGAAAAUAGUUUGCAACACUUCUUAAAUUCUAGGAGACAAAAUGGCUGCACAGCAUGGAUGGCCCAGCUGUUAAAAAUGUAAAACUGCCAUGAUGCUUUGCCAACCUAAGACUACUGAAGCUUCAGAGUUGUAGUUUCCCCUGAACUGCAAAUAUGUCACAAGUGAUGGUUCUUUUUCUAUUUUAGUGUCCUCCCAGUAAUAACGUCAUACUGUAAAUUGCGGUUUCUCACACAAACAUAAUGAAUAUAUAUUUUUUAUUUUAAUUUUUUCAGAAAUCCUAAAGCAGACAAUCAGAGAAUUUAUAAAAAGAUCAACAACGAUGCUUCCCUCAGGAUACAAAAUUUAUCUGUGCUGGUGAAACAAAUCAAAUCAUAUUAUCAGG